rnacentral:lncRNA from 1 species
UUCUCGUUUGCUAGACUCGGUACUUGUGUCAGAUCGCUAGAUCGACACGCUGCUCAUGCCCUAAUGUGCAGAAAUAAUCUUGGAUAUUAGAACUAUUGGAGUAGAUUGCACCUUGUUUAAAUAAUCAGCAGCAGUGCUAUUCGAUUAUAUCUCUAGUCAGUAAGUAAUCAUAGGAUGUCCUUUUGAGUUGUGCAGAACAUGAAGUAGAUUUACACGUUUCCUUUUUUAUUGGCUGCUCAGGGUAUUUACUUCAACUGUUAAUCUAUUGUUGUUAUACAUAUGCACCAAAACCACGAUUGUGUCUCCUUAAGGUUUCAGUGUACUCAGUACUGUUGAACAGAAACAUUAUUUUGUUGUUUGUUCAGAUCUUAUUACGCCUUCACUGGAAAUAUAUGUAUAGGUGUAUAAAGCCCAUAAGUUAAUCAAUGGCUGGAAUAUUGGUAAUCGGUAGCUGCUCGGUCGGCUAGAGAUUAGGGAUUAAUCAGAAUUCGGACUGAUUAACUGAUUUCAUCGGUCGACCGUUGCACUAGAAUAUGCUACUCCUAUAUAAUAUGUAUUCAACAAGUAAAAAUGCAAAUGAGGAAAACAGUAGGCAUGUAUGGCCUGUCAAUCUUGCUGUUAAUGCGAGGAUGAGAGGGAGAGGAGAAAAUGCGGGAUACUUGGCAGGGAAGUCAAUUUGGUGGUUUUUGGGAUGGAUGGCCAUGGAAAUUUAAUUAUGAUCCUAUGCGAUGAAUCGCUAAUCGGCUGAUAAAUCGGUUGGCAGACCCAGUGAUCUGACCCGGCGAUCAAUGCUGGCGAUUCCCGUUAAUCUACUUGGUGACCUCCCAAGUAGCGAUUCAUCGGCUGAUUAAUCGCUGAGUCGGUGGAGUUUGUGAACAGUGAAGUUAAUGCUUCUCAUGAAAAAUAAAGUGUGCACUUCGCUUCUAGACUUCUUGGCUUACAUUUUAAAGGGUAAUAGGUAAGAUAACUGUAUCCAUAUAGGUCCUUGUGUUUUUAUGCUUAGUGUGCUUAUUAUUUCUCUUCCUAAAUUAAUCAAUUCUGGAGAAAGACAAUAUGGUUGCUAGUUUUACUCUGUGGUUGUCACCUACGUCCUCAAUAUUACCAUCUGCUGACUGCAUUCCAAGACUAUUUAUAAAGACGGAUUCUUCCUAGAAUACCAAGGGCAGUCCUCAGAUGGUUUGUGAUUCUGAUGUGAUGUGAAUGUGGAUUCACCUAGAUAUUUCUCAAGAGGGGCUCCUGAGUCCUGACAGAUCUUGGUGACCGAAUCUGUAAAUAUAUGGAGCGAAAUAAAAACAAAAACCACUUGAUUGUUUCUCUAGUAAAUAUAAGUACAUGUCUGUAGCAGCAUUUUUUCUGAUUCUUUCCAUGUGGUUUGUGUAAGACUAUUGAGUUUUUCAAGUUUCCUCAGGUGGAGUGACAGGUGAGGUCACUUGAAGCUAGCACAAACGGAUGCACUUAGUUUUAAUUGUGGAUGGACAGUUUAAACUUAAUUUUUCUAGUACAAAUGCACUAUUGGAGAAUUUUGUCCCAAAGAACAACACUGCAGGAGGUAGUUCUCCAUAUAGGCUAACAGCUGUAAUAAUCUCUCAGGUUUUCAAAAACAGGAAGAUGCCUGGACGCAUGGGUGGUGUACAACGCACCGUGAAAAAUGUAUGGGUUUACCAAAUUGACCCUGCGAGGAACUUACUGUAUCUGAAAGGCCAGGUAAUCCGAUCUCCACUUUGCAGUGCAUCUUGCUGAACAGCUGAAGUAUAAAGGUUGUGAUAUGUGUGUUAUGCAUCCUCUUGUCAACUUUGUAGGUUCCCGGUCCUCAAGGUAGCUUUCUUUUCAUUAAGGAUUCAAUAUACAAGAAACCCGACAGAACUCUGCUGCCAUUCCCUACAUAUUUCCCGCAAGAAGGUGAGCCGGAGGACUUGGAGCCCCUUGUUGCUGAUCUUGGUGAUAUCGACCCAUUCAUGGCAGCAGAUUAGAACGAUGGCCAAAUUGGAAGAAUCCCUUUUGUUUUCAGUCCAUUUCUCGACAAUCUCACGUGGUUGUUUGUUAAAUUUUGCAUUGAUAAUAUGAGUAGUUCCUGGAUUGCAAGAGUCAUCCCAUUACUGACCUGCCAGAAUCAAUGUUGUUCCAUGUACAUUACCUGGCGGACAUGCCAGGGCCCUAACUCAAUUAGGGUGCCGAGCUGAUUGUUUGAUCGACGGAGUGGAACAGUUUUUUGUUUAAUAAGUUGUGUAUGCUAAGGUCCAGAUGGAUUUAUAAAAUCUGAAAUUUUCACUGCUGAGAUCGCCAUUCCGUGCUGAGAGUCCCUGUUGCAGUAAUCUUUGCCUGUGACUGUGAGAUGUCCUUGGAUCGAAAGGACUAUUUUUAGCUCCGAGUAAGGUUUCCGUUUGUAAAUGUAAUACUUCUUGCGAUCCAUAUUAAUCGUCGAUAUUACAUGUAUCUAUAUGUUUUUUAAUAUAAAUUCAUUCAUAUUUUGACAAAUUUGAGACAAUUAAUAUGGAUUGGAGGUGACAAAUAAUUUGAGACAGAUCGGAUGUGACAAAUUUGAGACAAUGAUCGGAAGAGUAGUACAUUGAUAUGCGCGGAGAUGUACGUGAGGGGAAAUCACAUGGAGCAAACAGUGUUUCACACGGAUUUUAAGGCGGAUUGAACAGCAGGGGACGUGCCGGUACCUACCGCUACCGGUAUAUAAGAGUAUGCACACAUAAAGACGCAGUUUGACAAGAAGCAGCGUACCGCAAUCGAUGGGGUUGAGGUCUGCGGCUUCGCCGGAGCUUGACACGCGGUGCAGAAGCCGGAAGCGGCGGCGCGCUGGCGCCAGAGCAUGGCGAAGCGGUGCAGGAGCCGGAAGCGGCGGCGCGGGGAGUUCUGGCUCUGAGGCCGUGGACAUCCUGGUGUCCGCCAGGCAGGAGCUCCAAGUGGCGGAUCUGUCGCAGACGGCAGACCUGCCAGAGGGACAGCUUCUGCAGCGAUUGCUCCCACGCCUUCUGCCCUCGCUGCUGCUGGGCCCCACCACAUCCCGUCGCGGCACCUGGUCAUCCGUGACGACACGGUGCACGAGGACGGCGACGGCGAGCACCAGCUGCUCCCGGUGCUGACGGAGAAGCCGGGGACGUGCUUGCGGUGCGGCUACCGGCGCUUCGAGCCACACGGACACGGGAACGCCUCCUUUUUCUGCUCCACGGACUGCAUCCGCAGACACCAAACUGAGCUUGCUGGACGGAGGCAGCGCCGGGACGCCAGGCGGACCGCGCGCGGGCUGCCUCUGAAUGUUGCCAAGAACAAGAAGGCGAGAACCCGGAUCGCUCGGGGCCGGGUCGAGGAACGGGGUCGCUACCUCUGGAACAAACUGAAGAAGAUCUACCUUGGGGGCAUAUACAGUGCCAAAAAGCCAAAAUUCCAACUUUGCACCCUGUUUGGCACACGCCGUGAAAAUCUAAGAAGAGUCCAAUGCCCUAUUUGUUUGGGCUGAAGAUUCUUGAGAAGCAGCCGGAGAUUCUUGGAUUUGGGCUGCAGAUUCUUGAGAAGUAACUGGAGAUUCUUGGACCUGAGAAGCAGCUGGAGAUUGUCAGAUUAUACUGGUGCUAGACAACUGUUUGCAACCUGCUUCUGAGAAUAGCCGGUGGGGCCGUAGCCGGUGCUGAAAGUCUGAAAUGCGCUUGUAUGCUGAAUGUAAUGAUUAAGUACUAAUUUAGCACAAUUUAUUGUUUUGAUUGAUCUCGGUACCAUUUGGAAUUCGAAAAAAUAAAUAAAUAAUAUUAUUUGGGUUCAAGAGCAAAAUAAUGAACCGCAAAAAUAAAUUCGAACAUACAGUGCAAUGCACACAAUUGCAUAUAGAUUUUACCACAAGCGACUAGUUAAAUAUAAUAACAAAUAGUCCAGAAUAUGAAGUGCUCAUACAUUACCACGAACCACUAGUAGGAAAUAUAAUAACAAGUAGUUCAACAUAUGAGGUCCAAAAUACAUACUGGCUCUACCGUACAACUUUUCUAUCGACCUAUCAAACCAUUAGCAAUCCUUUCACGAAACACAUCCAUGGUCAGAAGUAUAAUGAUCAACCAUACGCUUGAAUUCUCUCUGCAUGGGGGUCUUUUUCUUAUUUGGGCUUCCACCACCACUACUACCCACACGCUUUCCAUUCACAGACCCAGACUUCUGACUUGUAGGAGUAACUAGUACCUCCUCACCUUCAUUAUCAUCUUCAAUAAUAACUUGCUCAUUGCCUGCCCCAGGCACAUAAGAACUCUUCCCAUCAACAUGAGCUCCCGCAAACAUAACUUCAAGUUCAUCUAUGAAAUCUGGAGGUCCUUUACGAAAACCUUCGGCAAGUUUAUUGCCCUAUGAAUAAAAACAGUACAAAUUAGCAUCGAAUCUCAUACCAACAAAGUGUGCACAUAAUAUUAAUAACCUUUUAGUAACUAUAUACAUUUAUAGUCUCUUGCCACCAGUCCUCGUCGGCGGUAACAGUUCUUGUAGCUUGGUCCCAACCCAGCCCAGUGCAUCUACCUCUAUAGUACUUCCAUGCUGAGUACAAAGCUUUCAUGGCAUCCCAUCUAUUUUUGAAUUGUCUUCUAGUGUAGUUUCUUCUAGUUCGUUGGAAAAAAUCUCGCUCUAAGUUCUUGUACCCUGUGGUACUCAAAAAAGCCGUUGGUCUAUUUCCUUCAAGCGUUUGUUCAGCGCAUAUCUCACAUAAUGCUUUGGCAGCAAUUGCAUCCCAAUUUUCUUUUGAUUGGUUUAGUUUUUCUUGAUCGAUCUAUAUACAUCGACAACAAGCAUAUAAUUGUUAAUACAUAACAGCAAGAACAGCCCUAUCCAUGAAUGCUCCAUCAAUACACCACAAAAUCCAUACAUCUAUGGAAUACAUCUAUACAUCCACACAUAAUACAUGUACAAAAAAAUCUUAGGUUCAUCCAAACAUGCAGCAGAGAGGGCAUCCAUACAUGCAGCCAUAUUAGAGAGAGGGAGAGGGGGCUCACCUUGGCCUGAGAUCCACGGGACUGUAGAGGGAGGGGCGGUGGAGGGCAGGGGACUCAGAUCCGGCAGUGGAGAGCGGCGCCGGCGGGGGAGGGCGGGGAGGAGAGCUGCUCCGGCGGGGAGGAGAGCGGCGCCGGCAGGGGAGGGCGGGGACGACAGCUGCUCCGGCGGGGGUGGGCGGGGAGGAGACCGGCGGCGGGAACCCUAGCCGCCGCCUCCCAUGCGCGUACGAGAGAGAGGAGAGGGGCUGCGUGGGGAAUCGGUGGGGGUGGGGGAGAGGGGAAAAAAGAGAAGGGCAUUCUGUUCGUAAUUACGGGGAAGUGGAGGGGUAGGGGUGAGCGGGGAGAGCCAAAAGCUCAGGAAGCACCUCAAGAGGUGCUUCUAGUGCAAAUGAGAGAAGUGCUUCCCAUAAGCAUUGAACAGUUUUUUUGCUGUUUGUUUGAGAUUGUGCUUUUGAAGCAGCACAAGCACAAGCCCAAACAAACUGGGUCUAAGAGCAUCUCCAACAACAUACUCAUACUUUGGGUGCCCAAAACCAAUAUGGGUACAAGAGAGAGAAAAUUUGGGUAUGCAAAUUGGCUCCAUCUCUUUCAGCAUACCCAAAUCUGAGUACCCAAAACUUAAAUACCCAAAACUCUUACUUAUUACAGAUUUUUUUUAAAGAAAAAUCCCCAUCUUCUUCCUUAUCCAUCCAUCUUCUUCAACUUCUCCCAUCUCCUCCUCUUCCUCAUCUGACCGUGAUCCUCUGGCGCGCGCACUCCGGCGACCUCAAGGCCUGCCGCCUCCGGCGCGCGGUAUACGACCGCCCAGGCGCCCUCCGGCGAGCGGGCGGUGACGCCCUGGCCCGCCAUGUCACAAGCAGCAGUAGUGGGGGAGGAAAACCGACGAGGAGAGAUGGAAAACCGACGAGGAGAGAAGGAAGCGGUGGGAGAGGUUGGGCGGCGGCGCAGGUCGCGGCGGAGCUCCUGGGCGGCGAAGAGAGACGGGGGAGGGGCUGGGGGCCUCGUCGGGGCUCCAAAUCGAUGGGGACAUCGGGAUGGGCAGCGGCGAGGGAGCUCGUCGGGGCGGGGUCAAGGAGGUCGUGGUCCGGGGGCAGGGGGCGUCGUCGGGACGGGGUCAAGGAGGUCAUCGGAGGCUCAGAAGAGCGGCGCGGGGCACCGGCCGGCGACAGAUCCUGGGCGCAACAAUGGGGCACCUUCGGCUUCCGGCGGCGCACGUCGCGGGGACGACUGGGGUGACGGUGGUGCCGGGCACGACGAGGGAGGGGUACUGCGGCCGUGUCGGGCACAUUUGGGAGGUCGCCGGUGGGCUCCAUCGCCGGCAGCGAGGCGAAUUCCGGCGGUCGGGCAGGAGGUGAAGCAACCGCCCCUGUACAGGGUUUGAUCUCUGUGCUUAUAGUGCUAGUUCCUGGAUCGACUCACUAGCACACACAGUUUCAAGAUGAAAUAUCGAGAUACAAAGGUCAAAGUACUUUAUUACAUCGCAUUCAUCCAGAAUUUAAGAGUACUUACAACCUUCCAUGACCCCUUGGGUCAGCAUAUCAAAAUAGAGUUUCAAAGACUAAGCAGCGGAAAGGUAGAAGCAAAUGAGCCACAACUACUCCAAGGAAAGAGCAUGUUGGAAUGUAAGCACGUGCCCCAAACAAACAACGACGAACCUCACUCGUCGUCGGAUUCACCUGCAUUGUUAAUUGUAGCCACUACGUGAUUAAUACAUUGAAUGUAUUGGUAAGUUCACCUGGAAAUUAUAAUAGACCUAACAAUAUACAUGCAGUAUAUGGCAAGGUGGGGUUCAGGCUUUUUGGCGUGGUAGCAGAACAUAGUUUACCUUACUACAAUUGAAUGUUACAAUAAUGUUAACUAAUGGACACCGGGUAGAAACGCCGAUGCUCCUAUUAAUCUAAGGACAUCGAGUAAACACAUCGAUGCUCCUAACCCAAGUUCAAACCAUUCAUUUUAUUAAGAAAUUAGAAUGAGUGAGACCUUCCUUACAGCUCCCAAAUCUAGUUGCUCAUAAUUGUCCGUAACCGGGAACACGGCUAAGUACUUAGUUUGACACUCUCGAGAGGUUGUACACAUUCCCCACAAGAAAUCGACGUGUUAAUCCCUUGCUGUUCUCAAGGUAGAGUAGCAACGGCAUCGAUUACAAGAAUUUUCAGAACAUAAUCCCCCAGACCACCUGAGGGACCCGCGCUCCCACCUACACAGCUACAUCAUUAUAAUCCCUCGGAUCUGGGUUCAUAUUUCUUACUCAUCCAGCCAGAGCCUAUUUAGCAUGUGGUUGUACUGGAAGCUACUAAACAUGAAACUAGUCCAGUCUCUGGUUACCCCGGGUGGCAUUCCACAUUUGCGACGCAAGCGCUCCCCGAAUCCACGGGGAGACGUCCAUGGACGAUCCCUCCCCGAAUCCAUGGUGAGUCGACUCAGAGGGACUCAUAGAAAUGGACCUGACGUCGCAUAACAUCUCAAAAACUCAAAGCCGCCCACCCAGGAUGAUUCGUCAAAGUUGUUUUUGCCAGGUUUCCAAAAUACUCCACAUUAACAGUUUCAUGGAAAUUGAGAUUCCCUCCCACGUAUACUAACAUAGCAUAGCAAAUCAGCUACCUACGAUGGCAAUUGGUGGAAAGGUAAUGGCACAGGUAUCCUACUCUACUAGUACAGAAUAUAGCUAGCAUAGAUACGAGUAAUAUCCCUAUCAAUGCAAACUACACAACACUAGUGCAUAAAUAUUUAAAAUAAAAAAUUGUAAUGGACAUUAAUGAUCAAAGUGAACUUGCCUUGAUAGCAGUUGGACUUCAAACACUCGUCACAAUCGCACGGUUCGCCCUCCGAGUAAACUAUAAUAAACAAGCAUACACAUACAUAAACAAACAAUUCACAACACGACAAAAGAAAGUAUGCUAUGAUGCAAUGCAAGCAUGUGACAUGAUUUGGUUUAUUUUAUUCGACAAGAAAGGUUUCAGUUUCACAUACUCACUAAAAUAAUCCUUUGGUCAAAAAGGAUUAAACCAAUUAAUUUUUAAAACCACAGGUUAAAAGCAAGGUUUACAAAAGGGUUUUAAAAGCUUAAAACAAAGUUUGAUUAGAAUCAGCCAACUAAUUAAAUCAAAAUUCUAGUUCUCUGUUCCAAAUGAACAGAGGACAAUAAACCAAAAUUUUGGGCCCUGGUUUCAAGUAAAAAGGAUUUUUAAACAAAAGAUAUGAAUUAAAUGGCAUUAAAAGACUUUCUGUAAUUUGACUGGGUUUAGAUUAUUCAAAAUUAAAAUUAAAUUAUGCCAAAAUAUUCUACAUGCCGAGAGUUUUCCAAAAGGUGUGGAACAUCAAAUUUGGCCAAACGGAUUAAAAGAUAUGAUCAUUUGAAUUUCUAGGGAUUUUUCUGUAAAACUGCCAUUUACUCAAACCGGGAAUUAAGUUUUAAUUUUUAUCCAUGACACGUGGCGUGCUGUGAUUGGAUGGUACCGGUUCGGGAUUAAAAAUGAAUCGCGACCGUCAGAUCUAACUUAAAAUACAAAGACGGCCCAGAUCGAAGGAUACCCCUUCGAUCGGGUUGAGCCGAGAUCUAACAGUCAGGGGAGGUUCCGGCCUCACCUCCGGCAGCGAGGGUUCCGGCGAGUGGCGGCGACGGCUCGGGGUGGCGGCGCGGGGUGUUCCGGUGGCAUUCGGGCAUCGGGGAAAAGCGCGGACGGGGCGGCUCGUCUUGGCGAAGAAGAUGGAGGCGUCGGCUUCGCUCGGGAACGUCGGAGACGUCGCGUAGGACGACGGGAACGCCGCGGCGGCGGCAAAGCUUCGGGUCGUCGGCGUCGGGGAGGCUGCGGUGCACAAAAGGCUGCGGUGCACAAAAGGGCUGCGGUCUGGCUUGGCCGGUCAGGCACGCGGGUGAGUAGGGCCGGUUCGGCCCAUUUGGCCGGGCCGGUCCGUUUCUUCCUUUUUUUUCUUUUUCGUUUCCCUUUUUCUUUUUCUGUUUUUCCUUUAUAACUUUUGAUUUUGAACUCCAAAUCAAUUCAAAUAAAUCCCAGAAAAUUUAUAAAAUCGUAUUAUAAUAUGAUUCAACUUUUGGGACUAUAAAUCCUUCCAAAUAAAAAAUAUAUAUAUUGUUUUGUCCUAUAAAUGCCUUUAGGGCUUCAUAACUAUUUAAAUAAAAUAGCUUUUCAACUCCAAAUAGAUACCAAAAAUUAUGGGGUAGCUCAUUUAUGCAAUAAACCCCUUUUAUGAUCAAAACCUUAUUGGUUUAAAAACCAAAACUCAAAUGGGUAAAAAGGCUAAGGUUUUAAAAUAGUAGAAACUCUUUUAAAAACCCUUUUUUUUGGAAUAAAAAACAAGAUUCAAAAUGCAAAUGUGACAUGAUGCUCAUGGAUGCAAUGCAUAUGAAAGGGUUUAAAAUUUUGGGAUGUUACAGGAGGAGGGAAGGGGCUAAAGGAACGCGGGAGUGAAAUUUCAGGGUAGUUGGAGAUUUUGGUCUUUUGGGUACUCUAGCCUAGAAUACCCAUAUAUGGGUAUUUGGGGGCAAAAUUGGGUAGCUACCCAAUUUUUUUUGGCUAUCCAACAAAUAUGGGUACCUUGCUAGAGCUAAUUUUUGAGCCAAAAUACCCAUAUUGACGGGUUUUUUGUAUUCUUCCCAAAUAUGCCACGUACAGCGCCCGGGUUGCUAGGAUUCUAAUCCUGCCCGAUUUGCCAUCGUGGCGUCUAAUCCCGGGAUCAAGUUUUGCGUCCAAAAAAAUAAGGCAGGCGGCGAUUUUCAGAGGAAGCAGGCGCAAUUGCAAGCGUAUAAAUACAACCCAAUAUUGACCCAUAAAUGCACUAUUUGAGUUUCCUGCGAUAGAUCACUCUGUUUUUAUAAGGCCUGCAUGGAAUUUUAUGUCGAAUUUUGACAAAAAUUACAUUGGCAAUGCGAGGUUAUUUGGCACAAAAGAUAUAUUGUUAGAUUCGUAUUAGAAUAUUUUUUUUCCUAAUGCUAUGAAUUUUAUAUACAUAUAUUAAAUAUUAUUUACAUAAUUUGUGGUCAAAGUUUGGCACGAAAUUUAAUAGAUGUCUUAUAAAUCCGAACAUAGGUAGUACAUCGAAAGUGGUGGUUAGUUGCAAUAAAAUCACAUUGUAGUGGUCCCGACUCAUCAAAUAAGGUUUUAAUUAUGUGUCAAACCAGUAGAUAAGACUGGUCAUAGUGCAAAUAACUUAGAUAGUAACAUAGAUGCCAAUUGGGCAUUCUAGUGAUAUGGCAUGGUAAUUAAUGAAAAAAAAGAGUGAUGUGGUAAUUAGAUAUGUUACCAUCACAUCAUACUUUUCAAGAUAGAAUGAGUCUAUAAGACAAUUAAUGAGUUUUUUUAUGUUACCACAAAUCAUGUUAUUCUCAAUAUUGACAUAAUAACAUGCACUAAUAACAUAUACAUGUUACUCCACUAAUUUAUGGUACUAUGCAAUAUUACUAGCCUAAUACAACAACAUAAAUUAAAUAAUAUCAAGUGACGCGACCGAUGGAUGACACAAAUUAUUAUGUUUUUUACGGACGUGCGUAAUACUGUAAAAGAUAAAAGAUCAAGCAAACAUGGAUGAGGCCGCGUUCCUCGCGCGGUGACCGUUUCAUAUUUGGAGAUGAUCAAACGUGGCGUGGCGAGGCAGCCCUCGCGCGGCGCGCCAGGCGUUCCGACGCUGCCUCCGCCCGGCAAGUUGGCUUUGAUGUCUUUGGGAGCAGCCCGUGGAGCAGAGAAAGGCGUCGUUCCGGCCGAGUGGCUCGAAGGGCCGGUAGCCGCACUGCAUGCACGUCCCGGGCUUCGCCGUCAGCACCGGGAGCAGCUGGUCUUCGCCGUCUUCGUGCACCGGGUCGUCCAAGAUCAUCUCCACGUAGGGGAACCACCACUCGGAUCCAGUGCAGCGCACGCAGUGCCGGACGCCGCGCUCCUCGAUGCGCAGGACAGCCUCAGGGACGCGCGGCCCGUGGUGUCGCCCGUGAUGGUCCCGGCAGGCGGCGGCGGAGAAGGCGGCGUGGCACAGGAGGCAGAAGGCGUCCCGGGGUAGCCACGUCGCGUAGUCCUCGGAUGCGAUCGUGUCCUGAACGUGGCUCGGGUAUAUCGGUUCGCCGUCUGAGUAGUGCGUGGCGAAGACGAGCCGCCGGCCGCCAGCAUGGGAGUUGACGACGUCGACCCGGAUGACCAAGUGCAGCUGCCGCGGACUGUGGUGCGCGUCGCAGCAGUGGGGGCAGAAGGCGUGGAGGCAGGUGACGCAGAAGCACCGUCUCCGGCACGCCCCCCACAGGUCCGCCACUUAGAGCUCCUGCCUGCCAUGCAGCAGCCUGGCCUGAGCGGACUGCACCGCGCUCCUCGGCGGCCAAAGGGACGUUGCUACCACCGGCUUCUUCCCGUGUCGCUUCGGCGACGACGGCACGAAAUCUAAUCCCAUCGAUCGAUCGAUCCCGAUAACACGACCCAGUGCUUGAUCAUCACCUGGUUGUUAUGUGUUGGGAGAGUUAUUGUUAUGCUAUGAUUAAUUAGCAAACGAAACCUACUCGGGUACAACAGACAAGAUCGAGAGCUACGCUGCUCUACGACUUCGGCGUACAAGGCUCCACUUGCAGACACUUAACGGCUCCUCCUGUACUGCCUAAAUAUAUGGAUGCAAAGAGACUCCUGUGAGAAAUACUAACAGAGAAGAGGAUUUUAGGGUUUGGAAGUGCACCCACCGCUCAAUGAGGCCGGCCGUGUUUUUUUUUACAGCAAAAGACCUAACACAAGACUAAAGCUCGUACAACUUACAUGAUCUGAUACUAACUGAAUUAGAAAUUGAUAACAACUGAUACUAGUUUUUUGUUAGAAGCUGAACUGAUACUAAUUAAUUUACAACUAACUGAAUUAGAGAUCUCGCAUAUACAUGUUUAACUACUCGCAAAAAAAAGAAACAAGUACCCGCAACAAAGAAAAAAAAACUAUUUAAAUCAAGGACAAGACUGCAGCGCGACGCACGCUCGUUAGUCUGAGCGCCCGUACGCCAGCCAAGCUGGCUAGUUCGCAUGCGGAUGUACUUGCAUGCAUGCAUUCCGAUGGUACUAUGUGCUGGUUGCUGUUGCUGCAUUAGUAUGACGGGACAUUUUAAAAUGGUACCGCUGGUUGACAAAUCAUUUUCAUUUUUGGAUUUAUUUCGACGAGACUUAGAUCUCGUAUACUCCCUCCGUUCCAUAUCAAAUGACUCAAAUUUAUCUAAAUAUGAAUGUAUCUAUACCUAUAAUUUAAUGUCUGGAUAUACGUAAUAUUUCGGCAAUUAAAUUAGACCGAGAGAGUAUAUGAAUAUGUUCGGAUGUCAGUUUUAUCCAUCCUAUGUUACCACCUAGUAGCUUAUGAAGUUACCACCACAUUGGUGCAUCAGAUUACCACAUGUUGCUUUUCUUGAUUAUUGCAGAGAUCAAUAUCGUGCUUUUCCGGUGACAUUUGUCUCUUAUAAAAUAUGGUGGCAAUUUGUAUAUUACAACAUGGCAAUGGAAGAGUCCUAAAAAAUUUGGUCGGAUUAUACAUGUCUCCUUUACCUUCACAAUAACUUCUUACAAAAUAAGGUGGCAAUUUGUAUAAUACCGCAUGGCAACACAAGAGUCCGAAUUUUUUUUUUUUGAAACAUACAUGUAUGCUAAAUGUUACCGUCGGGACAACACUUACAAAAUAGGGCGGUGACAUGUGUAAUAAUGCUUGGUAGCGAAACAGUUCAAAAGAAUUGGGUUGAAACAUAUACGUAAGUAUGCUAAAUGUUACCGACGCGCCAACUUCUUACAAAUAGAGUGGGAACUUCUUACAAAAUAGGGUGUCAACUUUGUACAAAAUGCGUAUGCUAAAUGUUACCGACGUUACAACUUCUUACAAAAUAGGGUGGCAACUUCGUACAAAAUAGGAUGACGACGUACAAAAUAGGAUGACGAUUUUGUACAAAAUAGGUUGGCAACUUCGUACAAAAUUGAGUGGCAACUUGUCUAUUACCCGCAUGGUAAUAAAAGGGUCGGAAAAAACUUGGUCCAAAAUAGCUGUUAGCCGUUGUUACCCCAUGACAACUUCUUAUAAAAUAGGAUGGCAACUUGUGUAUUACCUCAUGGUAAGAGUCUAAAAAAGACCGGUCAAAAUAUACAUUUCUACCAAUUAACUAUGAUGACUGUGGUAACUCCUUACUAGAUAGGAUGGCAACUUAUGUAUUACUGUAUGAUAACAAAAAAGUCUAAUUUUUUUUGUGAAAACAUACGUGUCUUCUAAAAUGUCAUGUCAUGGUAACUUCUUAUAAAAUAGGAUGGCAAGUUGUAUAUUACCACAUGGUAAAAAGACUCAGAAAUAAAAUUUAUCCGAAAUAUACCCAUGAGAGGUCUACUUUCGAAGCGGUCGUCGAUACGAAACUAAUGGCGAAAACGGAUUGCGAAUCGGACAAACGGUUUGAUCUAAAAAAACAUUUUAAAAUUUGAAAACCAGUAUUUAAUGCGCUGAUGUCAUUGGUGUUGUUACUUUGACCUGUGUACUUCGUAAUUGCACUUUUCUCUUCCUUUGUGCACAGCAUAUUUACCCUUGCAUGCAUACAAACUUGAUACGAGAAUACAUUGCAGAGAAGCCGUCGCUCUGGAGAACACACGUGCGAAUGUGCCAGCUAUAACAGCAAUCUAUGGCCAGAAUUGAGUCGCGCGGAAAGACCAGCGCGCAGACGUUCACCGGUUAUAAUUUCCGUUAAAUCAAAACCGGUGUAUGUAGGACCGUACAUUGAGACUACGAAACAACCUGGUACGGAUUUCGGCGAAAUUGCAUGGGGACAGCGAUGUUCACUUCGAUCCAUAAACUCGCGAAUUUGAAAAGCAACUCCUUAAAUUUGAUACGUUGGUCCAUUUUAAUCCAAAAUGACAAUGUUCAAGCCAAAUUAGGUCACUGGCAUCUAAUUAAUGAGGCUCUGGGGGUCCUUCUCGCAAGUUUCCGGCCUGCGGAUUUUUUCGUUAAACCCCCAAGAAUAAACUGGUCUCUAACUCCCGGUCCCCAGACCCAAAUUACUCAAAGGCGAACUGAGUACAACCCAGGGCUGCCAAUUUCCGCAUCGUUUCCCCAAUUUGACGCAUGCUGCUUCGCCUUAGCAGUCGUUGUAUAUGUUUCGUCGCCGCCCGCAAUUCCCUUCUCACCUCCCAUGGACGGCACCGAUGCCUCGUCAAAGUGGGUUCACCUGCAAGGGAGGCGAUUCGAUCAUGUCCUGGCCCCCCGAGAUGGGGACAGAACAUCACGGCCGUAGGGAGACAUCGAGCGGUGUAACAGGAGAGCAAGGAUCUGAUGUUCUAACACGGAACGAGGGAGAGGGUCUUCUGAAUAAAUCACACCCGUCGUCUCUUCGUAGCGUUGCCUGGACCGCGGGUUAGAGGCCAAAAAAUUCCAGGAGGUUGAACAAAAGAAAACAACGGCCGCAAAUUUGCAAAAAAAGACCCCCCCAAGCCAUGUCAGACUUGGCCUAAUUUGGCUCAAAGUUGUCAUUUUGAACUAAAAUGAACCAAAAUGCCAAGUUUAAGGGGUCGUUUUUCAAAUUCGCGAGUUUAUGGAUGAAAGUGAACAUCGCUGCCAAGUUCAUGGAUCGACCAUGCAGUUUUCUCUAUACGGAUGCAAAGAGGCUCGAUCCUUCCUCCCGGCCAACCGACAGAUGAUUGCUCUCACUACAUCUUAUCUUGAUUAAGUUAAGUUUGAUCGAAGUACUCAAUUUGUGUAGAAAUGCAGGACAGCGCACCCCAUACUUUGAUUGUCCGAUAAAAUUCUUUGAUCAACAAAUUUUCAUUUAUUGGUAGUAUUGUUUACACAUUGUCAAUUAAUCGUAGGUGUAUUCGUUGACGGCCAUUGGUACUUGGUCCCCACUGCUUUCGUUGAUGGCUAAGGAUCAUAUGAAAUUUGGGUGCAAUCGUAUGGAGACGGUAGCACAGGUUUUCUAUGGACGGUUUGGGUGGCGCGCCGAGCGUAUGCUGGAUAAUGUAUGGUUUUGUUCCAGCCUUUUUUGCUUCAUUUUGUACAACUUUGAGAUGUUUUUUUCUGGAUGAUAUUAUGAUACUUCGGUUAAUAAUAGUAUGGUUGUGUGCAUCAAUCGAUGCAGAGGCCGCGGUACUCCCUUCUUUUAAAAAAAAAUCAUAGGUGUAUUCUAAACACCAAUUUAAUAUUAAUCAUAGUGUAUUUUGAAUACCAAUUUAAUAUUAAUGCCACACAACUAAAUUAAUGGUCAAAUUUUUUUCCUUCAAAAUACAUCUCCCGGAUGGUGUAAGUAAUAAGUACGACAUAAUAUUGCAUCACAUAACUUUGGUCGAAAUCUGGUUACAUAAACAAACAACUCUUGGUAUAAGCCCCACAAGGCUACUUCCUCUGAUCUUACUUCAUGUCCCGCCCGGACACAAAUGGGAACUACGCCGCGGCCACGCCCAUCAGCAGUGUCUCUGGGAUGGCCCGAUGCAGUGGCAGAACCUCCCGCCCGGCUACCCUAGGCAAUUGCCUAGGCUCAAGCCCAACCAUAUAGUAGCAAAUAUCCAAUUUGCUAUCUUGAUAUUUAUCGAGUGGCAGCGCACGGGCAAGUAACUAUCUUUUCAACCAUGCAAAGAUUUGUCAGAAAUACGAACGGAACGCGGAACACAGCUAGUCGUGGCAGCGCCAGGGAAAAUUGCUAGUUUUUAAUGAAAUAGGUUCCCGGGUGAAAAGCCAAGUCCUCGAACUGGGGGCGCAUAGGAAAAACGCUAGUUUUAAUGAAAUAGGUUCCCGAGUGAAAAACCAAUUCAAGUCCUUGGACUGGGCGGCGGCGGCGCUUGCGGCAUCACUCUCCCCCUUGGGGGCGCCGUUGGGGGAAUGCUAGAUCUGCGCUUGAGAGGAUCUUGGCCGGUGGCUGGGCAAUUGCUAGUUUGGCUCUGGUUUGCGUCGCCAUGGCCUGGCCUAGCAAGUUCAAUGCCUCGUUGUCUGUCGUGAAGAUGGGGUGGUGGAAGACGGUGACGGGCUGAUUCUGGAGCGUUCGCAUACGGCAGACGCUGGAAUUUAGCUUGUCCGGUUGUGUCUUCGUGGCCUCCAGAUUUAGAUGUUGGGUUGUGGUGUGCGGUCAGCGCAUACGGCCCCGAUAAUUCCCACACCCUUCAUAAGGUUUAUAAGUAUAGCUUCGUGGCUUUGGAUUGUUCGAUUGGUGUGUUUGUUUUGUCAGACUUGUUAUAUAAAUAGAUCAAUAAAAAUUUGAUGCAGAGGUCAGGUUUCAACUUCCUUUUCGGAAAAGGUAAAAGUUUAUAGAAAUGAAAAAAAAAAUCACCAUUCUGUGCUCAGAGUUCCCUGAUUCCCUGAUGAAGUAAUAAUUUCGCUGUGAGAUGCGCGUGGAUCGGAAGGACUAUUUUUAGCUUCCUUGUCCAGUUCGGACUUGGGAUCAGCGCCGUGCCCGCGUAGGUUUCCGUUUGUAAUAAAUACUCGUACUAUACAUGACGACAUAAAAGACUCGGUUUUAAAAGAAGCAGCGUAUCGCGAUCUAUGGUUUUGAGGUCUGCGGCAAUGCGGCGUCGCCGAAGCUUGACGACGCGGAGCAGGAGCCGGAAGCUGCGUCGCAGGGAGUUCUCGCUCUGAGGCCGAUGGGGUCGUUGACAGCUGAGGAGGCCGUAGACAUUCUGGUGUCCGUAAGGCAGGAGCUCCAAGUGGCGGAUCUGUCGCAGACGUGCCGGAGGGAACGCUUCUGCAUCGACUGCUCCCACGCCUUCUGCCCUCACUGCUGCUGGACCCACCACAGCCCGUCGUCGCACUUGGUCAUCCGGGUCGACGCCGACACCGACGCCGCCAGCAACGGCGGGCGCGGCUGUCUCGUGUUCCCCACGCACUACUCGGAUGGGCAGCGGAUGUACCCGCGCCGCUACCAGGACAUCAUCGUUUCCAAGGACUACGCCACGCGGCUGCCCCGGGACGCCUUCUGCCUCCGCUGCCGCGCCGCCUUCUCCGCCGCCUCCUGCCCGGACCACCACCGACGCCGUCACGGGCCGGACCUCCCCGACGCUGUCCUGCGCAUCGAGGAGCGUGGCGGGCGGCACUGCGUGCGCUGCACGGGGUCCGAGUGGUGGUUCCCCUACGUGGAGAUGAUCUUGGACCACCCGCUCGAAGAGGAUGGCGACGGCGAGCACCAGCUGCUCCCGGUUCUGACGGCGAAGCCGGGGACAGCAUGCAGUGCGGCUACCAGCGCUUCGAGCCACACGAACACGGGAACACCGCCUUUCUCUGCUCCACGGACUGCAUCCGCAGACACAAAACGGAGCUUGCCGGACGGAGGCAGCGCCGGGACGCCAGGCGGGCCGCGCGCGGGCUGCCUCGCCAAGCAACAUAUGAUUAUGACUAGGCAAUGCGACAUACGACAGAGCUUGCCGGACGGAUCGGAGGGAGUACUUUUUUUCCCACUAAAUUAUCCAAAACCACCUUAUGGCAUUUGUUAACCAAAACCACCAAUUUGUUAUUGUAUUUCAUUUCAACUAACCACCGCUUAAUCUGUUGCACAUGGUCUAAAUAGUCACUAGAUCAUGAAGGCGGCCUUGCUGCGCCGGUCGGUUGCGACAACCUAUCUAUCAUGGAUGAGAAACAGUAGAAAUUUGUUCAAACAUAUGGUGAAAUUUCAAAUUUGAGUGGUUGAAAUAUGUAGAAAUUUUCCCCGCAAAAAAAAAGAAAUACGUAGAAAUUUGAAUCAAGUUAUCAACAGGUAACACUAAAGAAAAACGUUAUCGACAAGCAAUUGCAACUCCUUGUUAGGUACCCCGUAGCAUUGCAACAGCAGUAGAAUCAUAGAGAACACUCUAAGGCUCCGUUUGGCAUUGCGGUGGAUUAUUAUAAUUCCGUUUUUUCCCACUUUUUCACUAUUUUCGUGUUUGGCUAACCAAUUUUUUCCUACAUUCAUCUGUAUUUUUCCAUAGCAAAUUAUAAAAUAAGUUCAGCGUAGCACAGUUCAGCAAUGCCAAAUUGAGCCUAAGCCUAAAGACUACAACAGGUGCUACACUGGGUAGAGAAACAUAAAUAAUUAGUUUAAUAGGAAUGUGCGCAAAAGUAUUCUAGAACCCGUGGUCCAACUGAAAGCAAUAUUUCAAAACAUCAAGAUGGUCACUUCAAAAUCGCAUAAUGCGUUGUCUUCAAGUUUUCAACACUGACAUUACACCUUCUCCUCCUGUCAUGUAAGCACAUUGUGCAAAGUCUUUACCAUGGCAACACCCAACUGAAAAAUCCAAACAAAAAAAUUGAAUAACCAGUCUGAAACGAAAACUUGAAUCAUACACUUAGAAUUUGUCCAAUGGCUGCACCAAUUUGCCAACCCGACAGGGUCAUCCGAGAAAUAAAGCUAGAUGCCCCCUGACAAAAAACUGAAGAUAGUGUUUAAAAUAAAUUAGCAAGCGUGACAAGCUCUGUAAUCCAGACCAGCAUGAAAAUACACUUCAUGUACUCUUUAAAAAUUGAAGAAGUCAACAACUGAAGAUAUAAUUCAUGAGAAAUGACAAUACAAUAUGUGUAAAUAUUGCAAUACCUUCACGAUCUGAACUGUUGAGGCGAUCAACUAAAAUGCCAAGCAAGAAUCGUUCAGCUGAAAAAAAGGUGCCAAUGUGUGUAGAUCCAUCAACAGGGGAGCGCCGCCACGGCCUGCAGUCGGGAAGGGGAAGGGAAGCACCUUCGUGGUGCCCACCCGAGGCGGUGUGAACCAGGGAGGUGAUCUCAAUGGCCGGAAGAGCCGAAGAAGGGCACAAGAGAAGCGCCGUAAAAUGAUUAUUCAAGAACCAUGGAAUAGCCAUGGCUUCCGAAGGAACCAGAGUUGACGCGCAGACGAAGGGAAACGAAAAUGCGAAGAUUAUCCAAUCAAGAAAAGGAGAAGUAACACACCCACUAUCCAAUUUAUUGAAUUAACAUCCAUCGUUAAUUAGGGAAUGGUUCAGACACGAGAGGACACACCAUGAAAUUCUGAUCGGGUGGUUCGUGGUGGAAAAAAUGUAUCAUCUUUCUCUUAUACAUUUUGUCCUCCUGAAAAAUUAAAUUGAAACAACAGAUUAUAGAAGAGAAUCAUUGGAUUAAUUGAUUUGUACACUAAAACUACGUACUACAGAAGCUCUAACCUGAAACAACAGCUCUACCGAUGCAAGAUGAUCUUCAAAGAAGAGCUCAACUUGGUCUUCCAUAGGGCUAAAGGAAAGAAAUAUCAUGCUUUCCAAGAUCAUUGCAGCAUUUAGAUAGAUUUUCAUUUACAUUCCAUCAUUGUACAUAUUAUUUUAACUUUAAUAAAUUGUUGUAGGUCUUUUGGCCUACAGUUUCCAUCAAAAAAAAACCCUGAAACAACAGAGGAGAGGAGAGUUGCUGAGUUGGGCCCUACCGACUAGGAGCAGGCGAUGGAGUGCUGCCCGCUAAAGUUUGCAGAAUCGGCGGUGAUUCGUGGGAGUCGAGGAGACAGACAGACAGUGCCACGGCGAGUCGGCGAGACCGAACGGGGAUCCGUGACCUAGCGCCGCAGGCAGGGCCAGGGGUGGGCAUUGGGGUGGGCUGUGGCGGAGCAACGUGGGGCUUAGGCGGAGGCGUGCGGAGCUGGAAGAACGCCGGUGGGUGCUAGUUAUUUAUAAUCCCUCUCAUCUAACGGCCAAGAAUGACCAACUCAUUAAAUCUGACGGCUAGGAGAGUGAAGCACUGAGAGGGCACUUUUGAUGCAGAAAUUGGCAUGAGCGCCCUAGCGCCCCGCGAGCCGCUCCUGCGACUCAUGGGGCGACACCCCGCCGCCACCCCUAGUUCUCCCUCUCCGCGCCUCUCUCACCCUGCCGCUGCCGCCGGCCGCCCCCCCACCCACCCCAAUCUCCUCCUCUCCCCCCAUCCUCUCCCCUCACUUCCCUCUGGCUCGCGCGGCACAAUUGCAGCAGCGCACGCAAGGCCCGCGACGGCAUGACUCCGGCGGUGGUGGCUUGUCCUACAGCUGCGAUGUCGCUUGGGCAGGCACGCGGUGGGGUGUGCGGAUCUGUGGAGGCGCAAUUCCGGCGGCGGUGGCACGCAGACGUGGGGCAGCGAGACACGCGGUGGGCUUGCUGCUCGUUGGCGGGCCUCGAGCUGCUCCCCGGGGAGCCCGUAUGGCAGAGUGCCGCUACUGCAGGUGCUGCGCUGUUGGUUGGACAGUGCGCUCCACGGCAGGGCGCUGCGGUUCUCCGGCCGGCGUGCGUUGUUGCUGUGAUGCUGCUGAGAUGGGGCCUGCGCCCUAGGGGCUGCGGGGGUGUGGUGGCCUAGAGGGUGCUCGGCCACCGGUGUGUUGGGUGGUUCGGGAGUUGGCUCAGGAGGCGUGCUUGAGACGUGUUGGCCGGCUUGACUGGCCACACGAGGGUGGCCGAUGAAGGAAAUAUGUCCUAGAGGCAAUUGUAAAAGUAUUAUUUAUUUCCAUGUUCAUUAUUAAUGUUUAUUUCUUUAUGCUAUAACUGCUAUGAUUCUUGAAUAUGAGAUUCAAAGGAAAACUCAUAAGCACGUGUAGAGAGAUAAACACCAAGUUAUCCUAGUCCCGCCUCUAGGACUAGCUCAUGUGUCGAGAACAAGGGUGCCGAACAAAUCCAAUUCCAUGAUAUACUACGAGAUCGUCUGUCACUUGUUGUUAGUAUUAUCAUAAGAUUGUUAUCGUAUACUCACGUCCUUAGACCAUGAGAAUAUCAAGUCCCUUCAUACUGGAAGACGUGCUUUGAUGGUUAUCAAACGUUACCCGUAACUGGGUGGCUAUAACGGUAAUCUUCAGGUAUUUCGGAAAUGUAUGUCUAGCGACUCGAUAGUUCAAGAUUGGGAUUUGCUCAGUCCGGAACGCUUCCUGGGAACUGAAGGUCACCGAGAGCGUGAUUCACCCCAUGGGCUGCACCACUCCGGGGUUGAUCCCCCGGAACGGGUCGGUGGGCUUCAUCUGCUCCAGUGGCAGCUCAAGCUUUUCCACCAGCUUGGCGGAUAGCAGGUUGAGGCUUGCCCCGCUGUCCACCAGUACCUUGGUCACCGUCACGUUGUUUAUGUCGGCGACACUAUGAGGGGGAGCACCCCUGAACCCAAGGGACGGAUCGGGUGAUCGUCCGAGUUGAAGGUGAUCGGCACGUGCGACCACCUCAACGGCUGCUGCACCUCCACGCUGGGGAGGAGGGCGAAGACCUCACGCGUAAGCCGCUUCACGGCAGCGUGAGACGUGAGAGCAUACGCUCCCCCGUGGAUGCAGGCGACGUCGCGAGGCUCCUGGAAGCCGGGCUCGUCGGCGUCGGCGUCGCUGUAGACAUCCUCGUGCUGCUCAGCGCGAGGUUUGUCGUGUCCCCGGGGAGGCCGGUCCUUGCCUCCGCGGGCCUGACCGCGAACCCCCACGGGUUCUCCUUUGUCGCCACCGACUGCGCCCCAGCCUGCUCCGCCGCGGGGGUUGUUCGGGCCGUCUCGGGAGAGGUGCCUAAUGUCCCGGCAGCACGGCACUCCUCGUGGCGCUGCUCGCGCUUCUCCUUGAUGGUCUGGAGAGUGCGGCAGUCCUGCGCGUCGUGGGUGGCGUUGGUGUGGAUGGGGCAGUGCGCGGCCGCUGCCGGCUUGCUGCCCGAUGCUCCCGCCGACGCCGCCUUCUUGGUGGCCUCUGGGGAGCCCCCGGCUCCGCGGCAAGCACUUGCUUCCCGCCGCGUUUCCGGGAGCUCUUCUUCCCGGAGCCCUCUGGUGGGUUUGCCGCUGCUUUGGCGGCAAGCUCGGGCGCCAAGCGCCCUUCCACGGCCAUCGCGCACUUGUGUGCAAGAGCGUAGAGAUCCCUUGUGGUCCAGAUCCGGUGCGUGUUGAGCUUCUCACGCAUCUUCGGGUCUCGAACGUUGAUAGCGUACGUGUUGAUGAUGGCGGCCGCUUCCGCCUUAGGGAUGGAGUAGGAGAGGUUGGAGAACCUGUUGGUGAAGUCCCGCAACGUCUCCUCCGGUUUCUGCACGACCGUGUGCAGCUCCGCCAUGGUUCCCGGGCGCUUGUAGCUGCCCUAGAACGCGUUCACGAACUGCUCGCGCAGGUCAGCCCAGGAGGCUAUGGACCCAGCGGGCAGGUUGAGCAACCAAGUCCUCGCUGAUCCUUGAGGACCAUCGGGAACCAGUUGACCCUGACCUUGUCGUCAGCACCAAUGGAGUGCAUGCCCAACGUGUAAGUCAAAAGAAAAUCCUUGGGAUUCACCGUCCCGUCGUACGUCCCGAGAGCCGGCGCUCGGAACUUGCGGGGCCAUGUCACCCGGCGCAGCUCGCGAGUGAACGCGGCGUAGCCGUCCUCGGCGCCCAUGUGAGCAUCUUCCUACUCCUCUGGGCGCGGGCGUUCUGCUUCACGCCGACGCCGGCGCUCCAAGCGCGGGCGGAGGUCUUCCUGCUGGCGGGCGUUCAAGACGCUUCGCGCGUCACCCCAUGUAACGGUCGGUGACGAAUCCGAGGACCCCACGGGAUCCUCGCCUCUUUUCCCUCUCGGCGGGGGAGGGUGUUCUCCGUGUCCCGAAACGCAGGGCGCGUCUCCGCGUCCCGAGUUUUGCCCUCGGCCUGAACCAGCCGGGGCGCCCUCGCCUUGCGGCUGCUGGGCGGCGAGUGCGAAGAGCGCAUCUAGCUCCGCACUCCAUGCUUCAUGCACCGGCGUGCCUUGUGGUGGCUCAUAGCGCACCAUGACACGCGCGGCUAUAAUGGCUUCCGCCGGGGUCUGGGCGGGAGGCUAUCGAUUCUCCGACCAGCUGCCCUCCGCCCUGUCACCUGGUGCCCUCGGGUGAGUGGCGCGAGACUCCGUCGGCAUCGCUCGUGACGCGCUGUGCUUGUGGCGCAGCUGUCGCUGCGCAUCUUCGGCCCAUGAGUGGACUCGCUGGCCGCUCGCGCGGCUGGCUCUGGCGCUGGGAGCCGCAGGCGCCCUCGGCCAGUUGUCUGCCGAUGGCCAAGGAGGUGGAGGCGGCAGUUGCGACUGCUGCUGGUGCCGUGGAGGGGACCCCUGGUCCCCUUGUGCUUGUGACGCGUGCGCAGCGUCAUGGGACCGAGUGCGCAUGGCGAGAGUGUCGCGCAAGUCGACCUGGGGCUCGUCUGCCUUCUUGGGCGGCAUGGCGAGCUAGUUGUUGAAGACGUCGUAGGGUGUGGAUGACGAUGACGCCGGCGGUCACCCGAAGCUCUCUGCACGCCCCCCUACCUGGCGCGCUAGAUGUCGGAGUACGGUCUCCGGCACCGGGGAUACCGAGCACCUCCUUUUUGGUUCGGUGGAGGGCAAGGUGAUCGCUCCAGCGAUCGCCGGCGUGGAGAUAGACACGAAGUGUAGACACAAGAGUUUACUCAGGUUCGGGCCACCCGGAGGUGUAAUACUCUACAUCCUGCUUUGAGUUGUAUUCACAAGUUUGAGUGCGUACAGAUCACCCAGGGAGUUCCGGGUUGGCUCUUUGGGUGAACUCUGUGCUAUCUUCUAAUCACUCGGGUUGGAACCCAUUGACCGAUGGCAUUGGUCCUCCUUUUAUAGACAAGGAAAUACCACAGGUGCCAAUGCAUGCAGCGUGACACGUUGCCUAUACGCGUGUCACAGCCGCACGGAAUACACUUUGGUUGAUCCGCGCUGGACGCCAUGCAGCGCCCUGUCUACUGUACAUGGUAGAAAAACGGUUCGCAAGGUAGUCGCCCUAGCCUUGUUUAGCAAGACUAGGCCUGCCGAUAAGACUCAUGUCGGUGCAUUAAUGCACUGCGCCCGCCGUCUUGUCCUGUCUUCACUGUUCUGCGGGUCCCGCCUACAUGCCCGAGCGCGGGUUGCUAGGGUGCACCCUCCCGGCUAGCGCACCUGCUAGUUGCCGAGAGGCGUUCCUUCGGCUUCCCAGGACCGGGGUUCCCGGGAGCAUCUUGUACUCGGCCCUUAGCUUCACCUUUACUAAGGGUCGUUUCCUCGAGGCAGGCUUCCCGGGAGGCCUUCCUGACGAGGCUUCUGGCGACCCACGCGUCCCGUAUCAGUGGGACCCCGUGGGCCACUGGUACAACAGUAGUAAAUGUUGGAUACUGGAUGUAAACAUGGUAUGUUGGAUAUUGGAUGUAAACUGGGAUAUAUUUAGUUCAUCAUGAUGCAUGUUGGUCUAUUUAACUUGUCUCUGAAUUAAAUGCUAUUUCAAACACACUUUCAAAUGGAAAGCAGAAUAUUUCUCUAUUUAUCUGGACAUGAAGCAUGUUGGUCUAUUUAUCUUCUCUCUGAAUAUUUCUCUAUUUAGCUGGACAUGAAACAGAAAUUCAAACACACUUUGAAACUGAAAUUCAAACAUAAUUUUAAACUGAUAUUCAUAUCCAAACUGAAUUUGACACAACAGUCAUUCAUUACAAACUGAACUUUCCAAUUAGAUGAAACCCCUUGUGAUCAAAGCAGUUAAUGCAUACCCAAUUGCACAAGCUCCUACUAACAUCAAAAUGCAUAACUCUUUCCUAUCCUGCCCCUAAUCUCUUCCAAAUGACUCCUUUCAAUCAACUUCUUCUCUUUCUUCAUCUCCUUGAUCACCACUUCCAGCUCAGCUACUAUCUGGAGUAGCUUUCGAUUUUCACCUUCCAAAGCAACUAGCAUGUUGCUGUUCUGCCUCUUCUGCAGUGUCAAAUCAUUUCAUCAGUACAAUUGCCCUGCGUUUCAAAAUUUCCAACCAAAAUGCAUCAACAAACAUGGGCACAAAAUUGAGAUGGAGAGCGCCAUCAGUAAUUCACCAAAUCUCACCUUGGACGAUGCCCUAUGGUCCCAGUAAGCCUCACCGAUCACCUUGGCCCAACCGCCGCCGCCCGCUGUACUCCACCUACUGUUGUCGCCGCCGCCUCCCAAUCCUCCUCCGUCUCCGCCUUGAUCGUGGCCGCCACCCAUCUGCCGCGAAUCAUGCCGCUCGGGAGCACGCAUCAAGUGUUUGGUCUCUCACCCCAGGUCAGUCCUCCGUCUCUCGCCCAAGCUCGGCACGCCGGCGAUUCUAGGGUUACGACAGAGUCAGGCGGAAGAGGAAAGGGUGUGGAACAAGUUUUUUUAAAAGAAAAGUCGCUUUUCUGAUGUCCCUGAGAGCUGGAUCGAGGAGUAAGAUGCAAUCUUCUCAGGGGGGUUCUUGCAAAAACUCAUAACCGGCUAAAACAACCACGUGGCACCGUAUGAUUGGCAUGGACCUCUAACCAAUCCGCAUAUCAAGUUUAGGGACUAGCUUUGCUCAUUUGUGUGACGAAAAUGCUCCCACCACUCAGGUUUUGGGACUAGCGGUGCAAUUACCUCUUAAUUAUAAGAUAAGGCACUAAGAGAUGAUAUAUUGUACAACAUGUUUUGUUGUCUUAUCUAAAUGACGUGGAACACAUAAGAAAAGAUAGCCUUAUCAACCAUUUUAGAUGCCCUUAAUACCUUUCCAACGGAUCCGGACCCAUCAGGAGAUUCGACACUUGCUGAGCGUGACCGACAAAACAAGCUAACGGUUCUGUUUUUAUCUUUCCAAAGGAGUUGUAGUUUGUUAGGAAAGUUAGAGAUAGACUUGGAUUUCGGCCUCCUUCCUCAUGGUGGACGAAAUUCCCUCUUCCUCCACCUUUAUAUACUCCAUGUGUUCCCUAUGGAGCCUCGGGUUUUGUUUAGUUAAAAGUUAGCCAUCGUUGUAACUUUGUGUAAUCAUGUGUGUCGGCUAGACCAUCUGCUUUACCGCUUUCGGAACCCCAAUUUAUCGUCUCAUUGAGGCAUUGGUUUAAUAUAGCAUACUCGCAAUUUCAGAUUGCAUCCGCUAUUUAUCUUGUUCUUCGAUUGCUUGCAGGAACAAAGACCUUCGUGGUCAGGUUGAUCGUGUCCCCGCGUGAUCAAUAACCUUCUGAAGUUGGUGUAUCGAUUGCUAAGACGUUGUCUGUAAACCGUAGUCGGAUCAUCAACGUCAACUCCUACCCAAAUCGAGAGAUACCAAUCUCAUCGAAAGAUCAGGCCCCAGAGACUGGGCAAAGGAGGAUCUUGUACACCACAACGAUUCACUUCCUCUUUUCUAAUGUAUAUUCGUAGGGCUCACGCGGAAGCUACGCGCGGUACAUACUUACAUGCAAGGAAAAUAAAAGAAGAGGAAAUAAACCACUGUGGUUUUCAUGGUCUUUGUUAAGACAAAGUUAUACGUCAAUCAACACACAUGGAAGGUGCGAGACAAGAACAUCAUGUUCUCCUUGUGGCGGUCCGUGUUGCGACCCAUCGGCGGCGAGGAUCCUAGGUGGACGUGUGUGCGGAGAGAUUCUCCAUCGUGGCAGCUCGAGAAGUUUUGUGUGACACCUGCUGGCUGUAUCAGUCGGUAGAUCGCCACGUGUACGUUAGAAGGCAAGUUGUAAUUUCUUAUCUUCUAUGGUUUUAGAUGUAACUCGAGCUACAUCCCCUGUAACACGCAUAUUUCAACCUUCAAAAAACAUUCUACGUUACCUUCAUCCUAAUAAACUAAUUUGCUCUCUUUUUUUUUGCCCGGAAGCUAAUUUGCUCACAUAAUUUCAAAAAAAAUAAAAUAUAUUCCUGCCUUAAAAGAAACAUCCUGCCUAAUUUGUGGUCGGUGCGGGCAACAAACCCACCUAGCGGGUGGGGUCCACCGGUUAUCCUUUCCCCUUAUAUCUCCAAACUGUAAGGUUAUCCUUAUCGUCUCUCCCAUUCUCCCCCUCUCUAUUGUACUGGCUCCAAAACACCGUCACACACCACCGACAGAACGGCGCGGAUCGAACGCUGUCGUGCGACACCUGCUCGGAUCAAGGCUAGAUUGGGGGCAUCGACGCGGAUCAAGGCCAGAUCAAGGCGCCGGUGCGGACCGGCGCCGGAUCAAGGCCGGAUCGAGGGCAAAUCGAGGCGCUGGUGCGGACCACCGACGGUUCAAGGCCGGAUCGAGGGCAUCGGCGCGGAUUAAGGCACUGAACAGGCCAGAUCGGGGUGCCGGUGCGGACCGCCGACGGAUCAAGGCACUGACGUGGAUCAAGGCGAGGGGUACACUGGCGUAGAUCGUGGCGCCGCGGCACACCGCGGCCGUGGAUUUAGUCGCUGCCUCCAUAUGCCAUCCGAAGGUCCUCAUGGAUCUGACCGACCACCGUACGGUCUGGCUGGUCACCAUCCCCUUUAUGUGUUUUCUUUAUAUUUUUACUGCAUUUUUUUUAUCAAAUCCGAUGGUCUUUUUCCAAAUAUUUUAAAAGUUUCUCAAAAUUGCUGAGAGUUCAUCUCAUAUAUUUAUUUUUAUUUUUUAGAAUACUAUUGAUAUUUCGUUUUAAUAUUCUUUUUUUUUUAAGUUUCUGAAAAUUAUCAUAAGUUCAUCUUAAGAACUUCUAACUUUCUGAAUUUGUUGAAAGUCAUCUCAAUAUUUUGGACUUUCAAUUUUUUUAAAGUCCUAAAAAUAUAUUGAAAAUUUAUGUUUCACAUACUGAAAAGUCCUCUAAAUUUGAAAUUUACAGGUGGCGUGAAGUCUGUGCGAAUUUACAGCGCACACAGCCCACAUUCCCCAAUCCCACAGUGAUUGACCACCUCCAACGACCUUGUUGCGUCGUGUGCAGUCGAGUCGAGCGGACCCCUCCUCCCCUCCGCCCUCGCUUCUCGAACCUUCUAGUAGAUUCCGCCGCCGCCACCCCGCUCCAAAUCCUCCUCCUGCCCCGCCUACUCCGCGCUCGCCGCCGCCUUCCCCUGCCGCGGGGCCCGAGAUGGACGACGCGUGCGCCGUCUGCGCGGAGCCGCUCGAGUGGGUGGCCUACGGCGCUUGCGGCCACCGCGAGGUCUGCUCCGCCUGCGUCGCCCGCCUCCGCUUCGUCCUCCGCGAUCAACGCUGCUGCCUCUGCAUGGCCCACUGCCCCGCCGUCUUCGCCACCAAGGUCAGCACCUAGGGUUUGCUCUGCGAUUUCCUCUGUACCCCCUCGCGCCCCGCGAAUGACAUUUACAAUUGCCCUCAUUGCUGUAUUGGUUUUUUCGCUGUCUAGGCAAUGGGGGACCGCACGAGGGUGAUCAGCGAUUUCUCGGCCCUCCCGGUUGCACCCGGCGAGGGGAAGGCUGGGGAGUACUGGUACCACGAGGACACGCAGGUGUGGUUUGACGAUGCCGACCAUUACAGGGCAGUACGCUCGAUGUGCCGGAUUUCUUGCACUGUUUGCGAAGGUAGCAGCAGCAAAAGAGUGAAGAAGGGCCGUAAGGUGGGCAAGCCGAAACAUAAUGUUAAGUUUGGGAGCAUCGAGCAGCUCAAAGGGCAUCUGAUCGACCAGCAUUGCUUGUACAUGUGUGACCUUUGCUUGGACGGGAGGAAGGUGAUGUUAUUCAUUUUCUACUUUUCCUUGUUAACUGGUGUAACUUUAAUCAUAUAUUCUCUAAUGUGAAGAUGCUUGCUGGUAAUAUUCGUAGUAUCGUGUAACACUAGGCAGAUAACCUGGUGCAAUGUGGUAAUACCAAGUUACCAACUAUCAUUUCAUUCCGGACAUGAUAAUUUGUCGCAAGCAAUUAACAUGAUAAUUCUUAGGUCGUGUUGUUAGUUGUUACAUCGUGCUAUAAGUAUCAGUUACACACUAGCAGGUCAAUUAAUACCAAACUAGUGUUGUCAUAGAUUUUGUUUGUUCUCGUCUACUUAUCUAGUAUCUAGCAAUGCAAGUACUGUCUGGUAUCUGUUGAGCUCGCUAUUUUCUGGUAGCCGAAUACAGUACUCUACACAUCAACUUAACGCAUGGCAUCCCAUGUUUUAAUCCACCAACGGUUGAUAUUUCGUAUAUUUUGAUCGCAUUAAGACCAUGACAAACGUUCAUGUAUUCCUAAUAGACCAAAUCCUCUAACCUUAUUGGUGUUCGCUCACCUUUUUUGUGCACUUCAAUAUCCAAGUAUAUAUUACAUAAGGUGCUACCAGGUGAUGGAUUGAAUAUUUUCAUAACAUUUGCGAUUUGGAACUUUGUGUGUACAAAUGGACAUUUACAGUUUUACACCACUAUCAGUUGACAUGUACUCCCUCCAUCCCAUACUAAGUGACUUUCCAUUACAUGUAUCUAGACACUUUUUAGGCAUAGAUGCAUCCAUAUUUGGGCAAAUUUGAGUCACUUAAUAUGGGACAGAGGGAGUUCUUGCUUAAAUCAGUUAGAAGGAUGCCAAGUAUAUUUGUACUCUAUUUUCAACCUGAUGCGUAAUGAUUUAAUGUUUGGCAAGUUGCCAAACGCCAACUGCUACCUCCGUCUGGCAUAAUGGUGCUGUCAAUAUCAUUUUUUUUGCAUUUUUUCCCUUCAUUUAUUUCAGUUCUACCAGCAUUGCCAAGUACAUUUGAACAUACAUCCUGGUUGGACACCUUGGUUUGUAGCCUCAAUGAACAUUUUCAUGUAUUCCAGGUUAUCUGCAAUUUACUCGCGAGUAAACUUGAAAUAAGCAGAUAACUUGAAAUAGGCAGAAACUUGAUAUCCUCAAAUUAUGAAAUUAAAUUGCCUAGUGCUAAAUACCAAGUUACCAACCUAUAAUAAGUUCCUGAACUGUUGUUGUCUUGGGCAGGUAUUUACUCGCGAGCAGAAACUUUAUACAAAGCCUCAAUUAAAUCAGCACAUAAAAUCCGGUGAUUCUGAGGUUGAUGGCUCGGGAAUUGAGCUCAGAGGUUUUGUAGGGCACCCAAUGUGCAAGUUUUGCAACAGCCCAUUUUAUGGAGAUAAUGAACUAGAUACACAUAUGACAAGAGAACAUUAUUCUUGUCACAUAUGUCAGAGGUGCUCUUCAACCAUUAUUUUACUAGUCGGAGCAUAAGUACAAAGUAAUGCUAUCUCUGACUUUGUGAAUUUUUUACAGGCAGCAUUCUGGGCAAUGUGAUUAUUUCAGGAACUAUGAUGACUUAGAGGUAUGCCGUAUCAAGCUGUCAAACUUGCAUUACAAUAAGAGCACUAUCUUAGAUUUAGGCACAGUCAAAAAAACAUUACACUCAUGCAAACAUUGCAUGUAGUAAGAACUAUAUACUAGAAAGAUAUGUAAGUGGAUACUCGACGAUUGAAUAGAAUUUGCACGUUUAAUCUAUUGUUCCUAUCUCCGAGUUUAUAUUUAUUAGGUAUACCUUAGACCAUCAAUGUAAUAACUGUGUGGUCACGAGGUGCUGCAUGUUAGGAGGAAGCAGAUUGGCACCUAGUCUCUGAUUAGGUACCCCAGAGGCUCAGAGGCCCAGAGUCCUAGGCGAGGGUGUAGUGUAGUACCUAUGCGCUGCAUAGGAACACUCAGGCCAGGUGGGUGCCUUUUCGAACACUGUAAUUAGUAAUAUUAAUUUAGUUGGUGCCAUAUCACUUUCUUAGAUGAAGUUCAUGUCUGGAGCAGUUAAUCUGUCUUCUAGACCACCAUAACAUAUUGGUUAUCUAUUCAACAUAGAGCUGUGCCUGUUAGACCUCUUACCUUCUAGUAUGGGCAUAAACAUGAUUUCCAUUUUGGGGUGCCGAUACAUGUCAUCAUCACCCCUAGAUUUUUCAUUUCAUAUCAAUCCUAUGCUACAAAUUUAGUGUCAGGCGCUUCUUUAGAUUUCAAGUUAUUAUUUAACAAGUUGCUAAAGAGCUCACACUAGUAUAAAUUUCAUGCUAUUAUCUAACAUGUUGCAUGGGCAUAUUCAGGCGCAUUUCCGGUCAGACCAUUUCUUCUGUGAGGACAGGGAGUGUUUGGAGAAUAAGUUUGUUGUCUUCCAAAGUGAAGCAGAGCUCAAGGCAAGUCAAACACCAUUUAUAUAUCAUUAUUCAUAUUCACUGGACAUGUUACCAGAUUAGUUCUUAGCACUUCGUUAUAACUUGUCAACACCAAAUUUUUCUUAUGUUCAUUCCAGAGGCAUAAUGCUGUGGAGCAUAGGGACCUCAUGCAUCAUGCACGGAAGAAUCUUGCACUCCAGGUCUACAAAUGAAUCUGCCUCGUUUCUACUCUUUGUUAAGUUUAGACUUCCGUCUGUUGACACACUUGCAUAUUUGUAUGGAUGAAAAACAUGAGUAUCAGUAAUCUGAUUUAAUUUACCUUGCUUACCAUUGUCAGACAUCAACCGGUUCUAGAGAAUGGAGUGAGCAAGAGAGGAGUCAUGGCAGAGGUAGGAGGAAUAAUGCUUGGGGCCCCAUUGGUGCAGUUGACAAUACCUUGCUGUCUGUGCGUAGCAUUGCAAAUGUGGGCCGUGGCUUGGGAAAUCAAGUCACUUCUGUUGCAGCUCCCUUGCCAUCAUUGAGUAUUUGUUCUGGUUCUGGGCAAUCAUCACAAGCGGGCCAAAGCUCUGGGACGAACCGUGUAUUGCAGCAAUCAUACUUCUCUCCCCUCUCCCGUCAGGAGGUCCCUGAUGCAAGAAUAGGCUCUGUUCUUCAAGAAGCUUCAUCCCCUCCUGUAUCAGAAAGUUAUACGCCAGCACUUAGUCGGAGCUCAAGGAAUGCUGCAAGGAUAAGGGACGAGGCAUUUCCUCCUUUACCAGGCAUUAGUAACAGGAGUGCUGCUUUAACGCAGCAAGGGGUAAGAAAGGUAACUGAGAACACUCGUGCAUCCGGUUUCCAACAGCAGAGCAAGGGAACUGUGAUUACACACCAGCUUAGGUCCGUUGAAAAUACCGACUCUAUCCCUUUUGAUUCAAGUCGUUCCCUAAGUUCGCCUAUGCCCAACCCAAGUCCUGACAUUAGCGGAUCUUCAAGUCUGUCUUCUGCUGGAAAUGAAAGGAAAGGCACACUUGUAAACAGCCAGAUGUGCCCUGUGGAGGAUGUUCGUGCAGCAAAUAAUUUCCUGGUUGAAAGAAUUCGGACUGCCUUAGGGAUGGAUCAAGAUAGGUACACAAUGUUUAAAGAGCUCUCUGUGGAGUACCGUCAGGGUGUUAUCAAUGCUUCAAAGUACCUUUCAUAUGUUGAGCAAUUUGGUCUCUCGCACCUCGUUCUUGAAAUGGCUAGGUUACUGCCUGAUCCUCAAAAGCAAAAGGAACUUGCUGAUGCAUACUACACCAACUUGCGUCUUACAAGCCUCCAAGGAAAUGGUGGUGGUGGAACUGUUACCUCAAAAGAAGGCAACCGAAAAAAGAAGGGGAAGGGCAAAGUUCCUGAUGCUACAGGAACUACUAGUGCUACAAAGGAUUCACCUGAAGAUAAGUUCCUGAAAGCUACCCGCAAGCUUCAGUCUCCGGAAGGAAAUUCUAGAGUGGUCCUAAGAGAAGGGUGUGGAGCAACUAGCGGAUCUUCUCAUGAGCUGGGGUGGCCUGUGAAGGGAGCUUGGCAAAACCAUGGAGGACAGAGACUCUUGAGCAAUCUGAAGAAGUAAAUUCGGUUCUGCAGGUUGAAUUACCAGCUUAUCUGCUGUGAAAUGUUGACAUUUCAAGGCAAACUCGAAAGGCGGUGAGGUAAUUAUUAGUUUGCCUUCUGGUAGGUUUUUGUCUUGGAACAAACUAGUUUGCAUGAAUCUGUAUGGGUUACAUAUGUAUGGAGUACUGUGGACGUUGAAGGAGUAAUUUGGACUACCUAGGUCAUUUGCGGACAUUGUUAGGAGAAACUGAUAGCUAUCAGAGCCAUUGUGCUUCAUUCAUGAUGUUUGUGGCAGGAUUUUAUUUCGAAGUUGCCGUCUACUCUCUUCGUUCCAUAAUUUUUGUCGAAAUAUUACAUGUAUCUAGACACGUUUUAAGAAUAAAUACAUUCAUAUUUUGGCAACAAGAAUUAUGGAACAGAGGGAGUAGAUUUUAUUUCGUUGAAUCCACCUAACAAACGUUGCAAGAUGUGGAUGCCGCGAGUCGCCAUAGAAACGGUGCAAAAUUUGCAGGUUCCAUGACAUUCCAGAUGCGUCACAGCGUCAGGCUGUAGAAUGCAGAUCGAUGUGGAGUAUUAAACAGGGAACCCACUCGCAACAAGAUUAAACACAAGCGUCGACAAUCUAGAUCUGAAUAUCUGAUACUUCCUACGCGACGUGAAUUUGUAUAAGAAUUUAUAUAAAUCCACGUCAUUUAUUUUGAGACAGAGAAGUACAUAUUUAGUAUUCCCUCUGUUCCCAAUUAUAUACCGACUUUAUUAUAGAUAACUGCGCCGUUUUUAUGCUAGCUCGAUUGAGCAGGGGCACACCUACUGACUGACGUGUAACAAACAGGCGUUGAUCCCUGAAACCCAACAGCAACGAGCUACUACAUAAGGAUCACUUUUUAUGAGCCAUACUUGGGUCGUCUGCAACGUACGUGGAGGAGGACAUGGUCCAUCAGUUCUUGCAGGGUGGGCCGCAGACGCCGAGGAAGGUGUCGGUGCACUGGAACAGCUUCUUGGGCUUGGAAGGGUUGUGCUUCGCCUUCGAUCCCCUCACGGCGGUGCAUUUCUUGCAGACCGGGUCGCACUUCUUGACGACGUCGUCGCAGGUGUAGAGCCCCGAGAAGGAGAAGUUGCAGCUGCUGCAGCAACGCAGCUUGCCCCCGUUGGUCUCCCUGUUGCCCUUGCUUUCCCCCACCGCUGCUGCACGUCAGCGAUUCGCAUGUCAGUUCAUCACGCACUAGCUCGUUUUACGCCAUGGAGCGACCGGUUAAUUUCGAGGAGAGAACGUACCGUUUUCUUUGGCCACGGCCGCAAAGAUGCCCAUGACCAGGACGGCAUGGAGAACCAGCAGGAUCACCAUGAGCGUGCUGCUCUUCAUCGUUGCAGACAGCUCUAAUCCCCUGCUGCAAUUCCUUGCAGAAUGCUCAAUGCUCUUUGUUGUUAUUUGCAGAUGAUUGAGGAGGAACUCCAUAUAUAGGUGUCGAGAUCGUAAUGUGGCAAUUUACCAUGAAACAAGCGAACGUAUUUCUUCUUUUUCCGUGUUUUGGGAUGUAAAGUUGUUAGGCGGCGAGCCACCUAGUCUUUUUUGAAUCGUGGCUACGCGGUUUUGCCGGUUUGUGCAAUGCAUCUGUGAUCUUUAAUGUCUUUUCGUCAGCAUCAAAAAACACAGCUGGGGUGCAAUAUAUAUAAGUUAGGUUCAGUUCCAAAUAACUUGACUUUUCGCGAAAAAUGAAGUUCAGUUCGAAAUAACGACCGUCGAUCGGAAGUAAAACGGAAGGUGUCACCACAGAUCAUGUGCCAAUGACUAUUUACAAAGAGACGCAAACUAACCUGCUAAAUGCACACUUGUGCAAGAGUGUCAGACAAGUCGUGUAAUGACAUGCAGUACUCCCUCCGUUCUUAAAUGUAAAAAGUUCUAACUUGAUUUUAAGUCAAACAUUUUAAAAAAAUUGAGUAAAUUUCAGAAAACCUAGUUUUUGAGGCAGUUGUCUACCGAACCCCACUUGUCACUAAUCACGUCGCGGGAAACCCGCCGGCGGUGCGAGAAGGGAGAAGGCGGCCGCAGCAAGGAAGAGCGCGCGACGACGAAGGAAGGAUGUGGUGGGGAGGAGGGUCCGACAGUCCGACCGAGAAAUGUAGAUACAUUCAAAUUUGACUAAAUUUGAAUGCAUAUAUACACUAAGUCAUGUCUACGUGCAUCCAAAUUUUGACAAACUUAAGACAUCUUUUGUUGGAUUGAGGGAGUAGAUAUGAGACGGGGGCGCUGAAGAGGUAUCACGUGAACCUUGUGUUUCGAUGAAUUAUGCAUGCAUACGUAACUUUGUAUAGUCUGGAUAUGAAAUCUAUUGUGUAUGUUGGUAGAUUUUUAAUAUUAGAAUAUGUUCUUUUAUAUGUAUUCGGUUUUUAGCUAGCAUUGUACUUUGUAUACGGGCGAUAGUGUACGUAUGUAACAGUAAAGCUGGGCGUACAUAAAUGCGAAAACAAUUACUCUUGCCAGCUGCAUCUGUGAGGUUUACUACGCCGAUGGUAUUGCUAGUACUACUUGCCUGUGCGAUAGCAUGUGGUAACUUUAGCGCGCUCUUCCUUUCACUUUUACACGUUACUCGUACAUUUUCCCUUUUCUUUUAAACUCCUGGUGAGUAGUCGAUCCCCUGCCAGUCUGCGUUAUAAUGAAAUUCUGAAAUUAUAGCCCUAAUAACUUUGCCGUGUUAAUGAUAAUUUGUUACUAUAGACUCUUAUAGUGUUCCAACUUUCUUGGUGUUCAAUUUUGUUCAUUUUAUUGUUGAUUUUGUUUGUCCUUGAAGACUCUCUAGCUCAAAAAUACUGAAGCACUGAGCUAGGAAAUCUCUUGCGGAGAAGGGAAUGGAAAGGAGCUUCUCUAGAUCUAUGUAUACUCCAUCAUGACUCUCUUUUUUGCGCAAAUGCUGCUCCAACCAAAUGGUAAAAAGACAUAAACCAAAGCAGUGUUACAAUAACAGUACUCCAUUAAAUUGAUACUCAUUCCCACAGCACAAGAGCCACUUACACCUAGCAUUAUUCAUGCCUCAAGAACAGCACUACCACUACAUAACCAAUAAGAACUCAACACGUAGUACGACCGAAGAUAGACCAACCUAAUUGGAAAACAACAAAUUAAACGUCCACACAAGAGUGCAAGCUGCUAAACUGCACAAAUAAAAACGUACGCGCGGCGUAUAGCGCCCAGGGAACCAUCAUGCAUGCAUGCACGUGUACUACGUGUAUAAUAGCAUUACGGAACGAACCAAUUAACCAUGCACCGCUAGCAGAGAUCUAGCAUUUCUAGCUUGCGAAAAGAGCCUUUCACGGCUUGUUGGCGCGCUCGACGACGGCUCCGGCGGCGGGGGAUCCGGGCAUGCCACCAACGCCGCCCAUGCCAGGCAGGCUGCUGCCGCCGCCGAUUCCAGGGAGGCUGCUGCCGCCGAGGAAGGGCAUGCUGCCGAUGCUGCCGAAGCCCGGGGUGGCGCCGCCGCCGCUGCCGGGGAGGCUGAACCCCGGGAUGCUGCUGCCGGCGCCGGGCAUCCCGCCAAACGCCGGCGACGCGCUGCCCGGGAGCCUGUCGAAGGGCGGGAACGUCGUCGGCUGCAGCACCGCGUCCUUGUUGCUGCUGGCGGCCUCCGAGGUCGUCUUCAGGUUCCUCGCCUCGGUCGCCACGGCCAGAACGGCCAGGACGACAACGAGCAGUGACACCAUCUUGGCAGACAUCUCAGCUGGAAAAGAGUGCUUUGCUAGCUCCUGAAACAAGUGUUGGAGUACGCGGUGUGUGUGUGUUGGGGCUUUGGUUGCUGGUGUGUGUGGGAGAUGGGAUGGGAGGAGGAAGAAAGGUGGCGAGAGGAUUUAUAGCGGGGCGCGGCAGAGCAGGGCAGCGACAUUGAAGAGGUGUGGCACUGGCAGCUCAUCCAUCGGCCGGAGCGACGGUAGGUGGGGGAGCGUUAAGGAGACGAGUAAAGGAGGGGGGUACCUGCUGCUGUUUACUGCGCCAUCCUGUGAUCUCCAUUAAUACUUUUGCUCUUACAGGCCAGUGCAUCAAUUGGGCCGGGGAGGAGGAACAGAGACAGAAAUUGUAGAUCUCUGGUUGUGGUUGGGAGCUGCUAUAUCUAUCUAGCGCGCGCGCAAGCUGUGUUGGUUUCAAAACUCAGGAAAUUUGAGCUAUAGCUAACUUUGGCCGCUGGAUUCAUUAGGGUGACAAGACACCGACAAGAAAAGGGAGCAUUGCUCUAGUAUUUUUUUUACAAAUAAAUUUCAGAAAACCACAGUUUUGGGGUCAAGUGUAUCGUCGAACCACACAUUUUGAGUAAGUUUGUCUUAACUAGCCUGAAAUCGGGUGGUUUUGCUGUUUGGCAUCCGACAGGUGAGACUGAAGCGACCGCCCCCGUACAUAGGUUUGAUCUCUGUGCUUUAGUGCUAGUCCCUGGAUCGACUCACUAGCACACGCAGUUUCAAGAUGUAAUAUCAUACAACAAAGGUCUCAAUAUUACAACGUAUCAUCCAGAAUUUAAAAGUACUUACAACUUGCAUAACCCCACGGGUUAGCUGGAAAUAAAACAACUGCUUAGCAACGGAAAGUGAAAGAUACAAGGACAUAUCAACACCACCAUGAGAGCAUGUUGGAAUAUAGGCCCGUAACCCAAACAAGCGGAAUGUACAUCUUACUCGUCGCCGGAGUUUCCUGCAUCAUUAAACGAUGUAGCCACUAGGGUCAAUACAUUGAAUGUAUUGGCAAGAUUCACCAAGUGUUAUAUCAGAACCUACCAAGUAUAUGCAUAAUGUGGCAAAGUGGGGUUCAAGGCUGCAUAAAAGAUUAGUUAUUUAAUCCUAUCUUUUAAAUCAAAUAGAAUUUUAUCACUAAUGGACAUGGGGUAGACACACCCAUGCUCCUAUUAAACUAAGGACAUUGAGUAGACACAUCAAUGCUCCUAAACCCAAGUUCAAACCAUUCAUUUUAUUUGGAAAUUAGAUUGAGUGAGACUUUCCUUACAGCUCCACAUCUAGUUGCUCAAAUUGUCCAUUGCCGGGGACACGGCUAAGUAAUUAGUUUUGACGCUCUCGAGAGUUUGUACACAUUUCCCAGAAGAAACCCGACGUGUUAAUCCCUUGCUGUCCUCAGGACAGAGUAGCAACGGCAUCGAUUACGAGAUUUUCAAAGGUAAUUCCCUAAACCACAAGAGAAUCACGCUCCCCCUACACGGCUACCUCAGUACAAUUCCUCGGGUCUAGGUUCAUACAACUUACUCUUGUCUCGCCAAAGCCCAUAUAGCAUUGUGGUUGUACUGGAAGCUGCUAAAUAGGAAACUAGUCCAGUCUCGGUUACCCCAGGUGGCAUUCCACAUUUGCAACGUAGACGCUCCCCAAAUCCACGGGAGAGACGUCCAUGGACGAUCCAUUCCCGAAUCCACGGGAACUCGACUCAGAGAGACCCAUAGAAAUGGACCUGACGCUGCUAAUCCUCAAAAUCCCCAAAGCAGCCCACCCAGGAUAGUUUAUUGAAUUAAUUGUUUUGCCUUACACCUAACAAAACAUUUCAUAUAUCCAAAAGCAUAACAAUAUCAUAAUGUAGUUAUUUCCCCCGCGAUACUACCAUAGCCUAGCAUUCAACUACAAUCGAUGGCAAUUUUGGUAGCAAGGUAAUGGCAAAGGUAAAACUAUACUACCUGGGAUUUAUAGCUAUCAUAGAGGUACCAGUAAUAUUCAUAAUGCAUCUAAUAAAACAUCUAGCGCAUAGUAAAAUAAUUGGGAAAUGAUCAAAGUGAACUUGCCUUGUCCAAGGUUGUGGUAGUUCUCGCACUCUUCGCAACAAGGUUCACAAUCCACACAAUCUAAAAUAAAAGAAAUCACACACAAUAAACACAACAUUCAAUACAAAAACAUGCUAUGAUGCAUAUGCCAUGACGAUGCACACUUGGUUACCUUUAAUGUAACAAGUUUUGUUUCUAUUUUGAAAAGUUUUUCAAAUGAUUUGGACAGAUUAUACAACAUCAAAGAGGUAAUUAAUAUGCAUGAAACAAGGAUAGGAUUUAAAUUAAAAGAUUAUAUUGUUUUUUUCAAACAUAGAGAAAUAUUUAAACUCGUAGUGUCAUGUCAUUCAUAAAAUAAUUUUCUCUUCUGGUCCAAAUGGACAAGAACAUGCUCAAAUAAUUUUACAGCAAGCUAACAAGCUCAAAACCAUUUUGAAAUAAUUCAUUUGAAAUUCAAACCAUAUUCAACCAAUCUGUAAUUUUCUUCUGGCAAAGUUGUUCAAAAUUGAAAUUGGACUGUUCCAAAAUAUUCUACAAGUUGUGAGGAUUCCAGAAAGGUGUGGAUCAUAAUUCGGCCGAAAAUUAAAAAAAACCUUUGCCACGUGGCAGUGCGGCAUUGGUCGGGUUCGGGCUAGGGUUUACCCUAGCGGCGCGGGUGGCCAGACGGUAGCGGCGCGGCGGACGGUGGAGCAGCUCGGCGGCGACGGGCGGCGGGCGGCUCGGACGGCUGGCGGCGCGGGCGGCGGCGAACGGCGCGGGCAGGGGGCGGACGCGCGGGCAGCUCAGGACAGAGCUCGGGGCGGACGCGGCGUGGGGCUCGGGGCGGACGGCACGGGCGAGCGGCGGCGGCGCUGUGGUCGACCAAAACCAAAUCCGGUCACGUCAAAACCUGCGGGACGGAUAGGGGAGCAAGGGACGGGCGGCCUACGGAUGAAAAGCUCACCGGGGUGACGGCGGUUUCGCGAGGACGGCAGCGGACGGAACCUUCUCCGGCGAGAAAUUAGACUCAAACCGAGGCAAAAUCGGGCAAAGAAGUUUGGGGAAAAGGUAGAGGAGGCCGAGAGCUUCAAAGUGACGCGCGGGGUUUCGGAUAUGGAGUCGUGUGCGCGGAGGAAUCGGAGCGGAGGCGUGGGGUGGUUUUCGAGCGUGCGUGGCGUGGAAUCCGGACGGCAGUUGGAGGUUGAAGACGAUGGCGGGGCCCGCCUGGCAGUGGGAGCGUCCGGUCGGCUCGGGCUGGUCCGGUCCGGUUUUGCUUCGGUUUUUCUUUUCUUUUUUUUAUUUUCUGUUUUUGAACCUCAAAAUUGAUUCAAAGUUCCAAAUCACUCCAAAUAAAUUGCAACAAAAUUUGUAAAAUAAUAUCUUCAUAUGAUAUAACUUUUUGGACAAAAUUCCUCAAAAUAAAAUAUUUAAAAAUACAUUUGCUUAUAGAACGGCUUAUAGGGCCUUUUAGGCUAUCAAAAUAAAUUAUUUUCAAAAUAAUUUCAAAAACAAAAUUUACGGGAUAGCUUUAUAUAUGCAUUAAAUCCCUUUUUAUGCCAAAACACCCAUGGGUUAAAACACAAAUGCUUGAAAGCAAGAUCAAAGCCCAAAAUCAAAUAAAAACACUUUUGAAUAGGGGUUUUCAGGGUAAAUUUUUGGGUUUUCAAAUGUGAUUAAAUGCAAGGGCGACAUGAUGCUUAUGAUAUGCAAUGCAUAUGAAGGGUUUUGAAAAUUGGGAUGUUACAGAGACCCACCUGUAAGGAAACACGUGAAACCGCAAAACUACCCGGUUUUGGGCUACUUGAGACAAACUGCCUCAAUAUGUGUUGUUCUGCAGACAGUUUGCAAUAUAAGUGUGGUUCGGCAAUACAAUUACCCAAAAACGGUGGUUCUCUAAAAUUUACUUUUUUUUACUUCAGUCAAGAAAAAAUAACUUUAUUCCUCAAAACAGAAAAAUUAACAGUGGAGUGGUGACAGUUGGGUAGCUAAAUUAUAUAAGGAGGUGAGAGAAUGGAAAAAAAACUAUUUGGAGGCCUAAUUGAUUUUCAAAGUGAGAACUGUUCGUAAACAAUAUAGGACUCUUAUACUUGGAAACACAAAAAAAAAUUGGAGUAAAUUCCAAGAAACCACAAGGUUUUAGAGCUAGGAUUUCAGGGGGCACAAGUUUUGUGCUUUGCAACAGAAAACCACGAGGUAUGAGUCUAAUUGUUUCAUAAAACCCAAAUGACCCGGUUUUGUCAAUUUGACAGCAAAUCCGACAGGGGCGGCCCACAGCACAGACGUCACGUCAGACGAACCCUUUUUUCCCCAGCCCCUCACCCAAAUCUAUAUUUGCACCCAACAACAAAUAACAUUUUCCCCGAAAAAAAAACAACAAAUAACAUAAAAAACAAAAAAUUACCUGGCUGCCUCGGUGCCUCCGUACCCGCGGCCGCGCCUCAACCGCCGCCGCCGCUCCCCGCGCGCCGCCGCUCUGCUGCCCUGUCCCCAUUCCCAGCCCCGCCUCGGGCCGUCGAGUGGCAGGCGCGUGCGGUAAGCGGCGGUGCGGGAGGGGCGGCGAGCGGUAGUGUGCGGCGCCGCGGGAGGGAAGGGGAGGGUGGAAAGGCGACGCCGGGGGACUGGGAGGAGCAAGGAGAGGUGGCGCCGGCGGGAUCUCUAUGCAGGGAGGGGUGAGCUCAAGUCAGGUGAUGCUGAGGGAGAUGGCUUCGGGGUUCGGGGUUCGCUGGACAGGGAGAUCAGGUGGCGGCGGUGGUCGGCCGGAGUCGGUGAAGAUGAAGGUGGCUCCCGGAGUCGGUGAAGACGAGGAUGGACAGAGGUGGUAGAAGGGGAUAGGGAGAGGGUCAUGAAUACAGAGGAAGAGGGGGGGCUAUGUGAAUAAAGAGAGCGUCUGAGCUGUGGGCCGGCCCUGUCGGAUUUGCUGUCAAAUUGACAAAACCGGAUCAUUUAAGUUUUCUGAAACAAUUAGGCUCAUAACUUGUGGUUUUCUGUUGCAAAGCACAAAACUUGUGCCCCCGUGAAACCCUGUCCCCAACGGAUGUGGUUUUUUGAAAUUUACUAAAAAAACUGCUCCCUCCGUCCAAGUAUCAAGUUUUACACUUGCGACCUGAGGCCGGGCCUCCGAUUUUUUGAGCCCGAACCAGCUAAUCGCUUGGCGGACAGUGAUAGGCCAAGCAGACGUUUAGCCAGAACACAAACCAAACAGUGUCUACGAACAUCACAGGGUAGUCUACAGGCAGGCUAUGUUUGUUCAGGGUUGCAACAAAACAUACACUAAGGGUUAAGGGUUUAUUGUUCGAAUUAAGUAGAGUAGGUGCAUUUUUGUUGGUCAGACCUCGGACGACUACGACAGUUGCUGCACAUAUUAUUAAUUACUAAUAUACAGUAAAAUAUAAACCCGCUUGCUCGCCAACAACGAACAGUCUUGGGGUUGGGUAAACAAAUGUGGUAUUUAAUGGAUAAAUUCAGAUAUAUACCUUAGCUUGCAUGCCUGGUUCCGCAUAUAUAAUCCUUAGUUAGUCAUGUCAAGAGAUCGAUCCAAUUUUAAUAGCACUAGCUACUUACCAUAAAUUCGGCCGAGCUUGAAAGGACUGAGCUGCAGUAAAGUGCUUUCAUUUGGUGACUCCACCCAAAUCAUCAUUGCUGUUGUUUGUGCUAAAUUUGACUUUGUGCUUCUUAGGAAUAAAAACACAAGAUGGUACGUACUGCUGGCACUGUUCAUUCAUACCACACCCGAUCGUCGAUCCAUCGACCGGCCCCAUACCCCCAUGUAGUUUUUGGUUUAAAGAUGGUGGACUCGUGGUAGGCGACAUUUUGAAGCUCGAAACAUCAUGAGCAUGGGCGACAUGCCCUGAGGAACAGGGCACUACCAUCAUACUCCUUCUACCAAAACCCCUCAUUUUGAAGCUCGAAAAAUUGCCGAGGUAUUUUACGCAUAUCGCCAGCUCUCCAUGCAUGUUCCUUAGAAAAAUGCAUGGCGGCGAUCGAACUGUUCGUCACGGCGUAGAUUCUUUCUGGUGCAUUAAUUUGUUGGUCUCUUAAUUGAUUACUACUCCUAGCCAGAGAGCUCGAGCGGAUUAUAUAACAGUGCACACCAACAAGACCGUCUUUGCUACUACACGUCAUUCGGUUAAUCCACUUGUUAUCUCGGUCAAAACCUUCGCUAACGCUUGAAGGUCAAAAAGAUCAACCUCUCAUUCGAUCUUAUUUGAACGAUAUAUAUUCGCAUCUCCAUCAAAACAUGACUGCUCUGAUCACAGUACGUCGGUGGAUCUUUUGUACUGGUACUCACUUGAUUCCGCGGAGCAUGCAGUGGCACACAUAAAGAUGACGCGACGACUUUAUGGCACACGAUGGAGUCACGCGCGCUAGCUAGCACAUAUGCAUGCGCCUACCGGCCAUCUGUAAACCGGAUUUAGUUAACUCGCGCCUUUGCCAAUGGAUCGAUCAGGGAACGAGCUGGAGCUGUGGAUCGCACGAUCAGGAAAGAAAAGGUGGCGACCAAUGGAGGAGGCCGGAAGAGGAGAUCUUCAAGUACUAGUAGCUAGCUCGCCAGUAGAAGUAAAGUGGAUGAACAGCUGGCCUUAAUUAAAAAUUUCUCACCGGCCAACCGCCUCUGCCCUCACUCACUCGUCCCUCGAGAUCGAAGAGAUUCAACCAAAAGACCGAUCUGAUGGAAAGGGCAAAGACAAUACACUUAAAGCAAGAAUAAUAGUGAGCUAUAAGCUAGCUACAACAAUUUAAAUACUAUAUUGGUGUUUAGUUGGAGGAAAAAGAAGAGGAGAGAGAAGAGAAGUGGGCUGUUAACUAGUAGCCAGCUGCAACACGUGCUCCUAGGCACCCCGUGAGACCGUAAUGUGGACCUGCUAUUAAUAAAAUAGUGUUUCUUAUACCCAACUUAUUAUACAUGCUAGUUAUUAUAUUACUUAAAGAUGACAUGGCAAAGCUUACAACCAGCAGCAGGCUAUAGUUAUUAAUCUUGCUCUUCUACUUUAACACGCUUUAACACUCCUCCUCACGUGUGGCUCCCUCAGGUCUAAACAUGAACCGAAAGUGGGCUGCAAUUUUAAUUGCGCUAACCGGGUCUCGAACACGAGACCUCUUGGCUUUGAUAUCAUGAAAAGCUUCAUGUUCUAGCCAUCGCAACCAAAAAGACCAAUCUGAUGGAACGGACAGGGACAAUCCACUUAUACUUCAACAGAAAUUACCUGCUUUCGUUAAUUUCUGCAAGAUUUUGAAACGGAGCUGGAGCUACGUACUGUACUCAACUCACUGGCUAGCGUCAUGGACUCAUGGGGCUCCCUCCGGCCCACUGGCAGAGAACGCAUCCUGGUCGUUGUCAUUUCUGCUUGCUGUACUCGCCCACCCACGCUACAGCAGUAAAUGUGGACAGGUUGCUAUGCAGUACACUACCACUUCCCUCGGUUCAACGAUAUUUGAGUCUGUCACAACUGAUCGCUUCAAUUUCUGCACGGCUUUAUGUUUCCCCCAACGCAUAAUUUCUCAGCAUGCCAUGGUAAUUAUCCUGAACUUGGUAGGCCCAGGCAAUUCAUUUCAUCUACUGUACUUACUCCAUGUGCUUACAGAAAUAGCAACGUCAAGAUUGGAUUCUUCCAUCCCGCAAAAAAGAAGAAGAAGUUUGGUUUCUUCCUCUCUUUUUUGAAACCGAACAAGAUUGGAAUAGAAUAAAAAGAGGUGUUCGUUCGCCCGAGAUCAAUUACCAUGUCUUCUUACCCGUAAUUAAGCUCGACGAGUUUUUCAGAACCAAGCGUUGGAGCAAAGCGAUCUCGGACAAUACAGAUAUGCAGUGAUUUGCAUGUACCGUACGCAAUAGCAUGUACGCCGCUAGUAGCUCGACAGACGAUGUUACCUGGCAUAUGUUGGCCCGGCCGGCCGUUGGAGCACGGUGUAGACCGCAUUUACUACUGCUGCUCAGGGCUCCGCUCGCUCGUCUGGAAUCCCUUGUUUCGUUUGUUUCUUUCUUUUCUCUUCUAUGGUGCAAAAUUUAACAGAACGGUUAGCCCGCGGCGCGCCUCGCUGGCAUGCAACUAGCUAGCUGGGCGGCACUUUGAGAUACCCCUAACCCUGACCAUGCAUGUUAAUUGUUGCAUGUCGGAUGGCUGCGAUCCACGACUACACGUCAGUACAAAACACUGCGGAUGCGCACUGUGGUAAAAAUCGAAUUCUAUAAAUAAACAAAUUCAAUAAAUAAAAAAGUAAAUUUGACAAAACAAUUUCACAAAACCAUAUUUUUGGACAGUCAUCUCACCGAGCCCUAGUUUUCGUUUAUUUGUCCGCAGAACAACACAUUUUCGGGCAAUAUGUCUCAACUCUUAAGUAUACCAAAACAGAAGUUUAAACCGGUUUGAUAAUAUUCCUUACAGGAAGGCCCCACAUGUAACGUGCCACCUCGACGUAAACCCGACCUGACACACAGAGUAAGACGCAGGCUAAUGUUGGAUUUACGCCGACCUGACACCUGACACAUGGGGCCCACAUGUAAAGAAUCAUGUCAAACGGGCUUAAACCCUAUUUUGGGCUACUUGAGACUGUCCGGAAAUGUGUGGUUCCGCGAAAAAAAUAGCGAAAACUGAGACUCGGUGAAACGAUUGUUCCAAAAGCCGUGAUUUUGUGAAAUUUAUUCUUUCUGAAAACACUUAAUUCUGACAUCCUGGCAACUUGUGGUUGUGGGCAGCUUAAAUCAUUGAAGGUUCUAAAUAUUAAAAUUUAUAAAAUUAAAACUAACUCGAGGUCCUCGCAAUAAUAUCAGCUCAGGUAUUUUCACACCUUAAUUUAGGUUUGAAUAAAAAUUCCUGCUCCAAAUGGAGCGCAAGUCGCAAGCCCAAGCACGUUCCAAAUUUCAUUAUUAGGCUCGACGUUCUUCCUGGGCCUUGCCUAACUGCCUUCCACCGCAGAAGAACCUGACUCGGCCCAUGAAAACAGAAAACAGGACGAAGUAGAUCUAAGCAAGCCGCAUGAUGAUACCAAAAGGCGGCCCAUGGCAGCGAGUUGUCACUUGUGAAAAAUUAAGCAACCAGCAGUCUGAAGAGGACCCCUCAAAAAAAAAAGCAGUCUGAAGAGGACAAUUAGCAGCAGCAAUGGCCACAAGACUACAACCGGACACAGUUUUACACACGUAACACGACUAGGACGACGAUGACACUGCAGACGCAUCAGGAUCGGACGCCUUAUGACUGGAAGCCCGUUCAAUCUAUUGAUGGACCAUCGUGGUCACCCGGCGCCAUGGCCACAUGGUAAGCACCAGUGGUUGCGACGCCGUUCUCUCCCAUGGCCCCAUGCAUGCACGCGACACACAUAAACAACAGGAGGACCACGGGGUCACUGUUGUUUUAGGCCCGAGUUAGCGCUCGCAUUAGCAGCAGCCUGAGAUAUAAAAGCCAAUCAAACAACAAUCCCCCGACGUACGUUUACUCUCGUCAACUUCCAAAUUACUCAGGCGCCGGUGCAGAACGGCAAAGUGGAUGUCGGCAGCGCGUUAUUGUUAGUACUAGCGGAUAACGGAACCAAAUCUAGAAAGGGGCCGGGUUCCUGCGUGUCGCGCCCAUGCUGACCGCGCGGAUUGUUUGUCCGUCGCGCGUGGCACGAAUGAUUCGAUGGCGCGCGACGCCACCAGGCGACGGGCGGAGCCGCGGAGGGGGAGAGACACUGCACGCAGCGAUCCAGGGCGCUGUCGCCGAAUCUAGAGGCCAGAAUGGCCGCCCGACGCCCGAGACGCCGGAUUGAAAACGCCAACGCUAACCACGGGUUGACCCGACUGACCGGCCUCGAAAACCGCGCCUCCUCGCGGUCACCCCCAGCAAAGCAGCUACUGGAACUCAAAGCCUUUUUUCCUUUUGUGUAUGACAUGUGGGUCCCAUUGGCCGUGGGGACCUGCCUGUCAGUCUGUGUCGUGACGGGUCGCCGGAGCGCCUGCCUAGGACGCUCUUGCUUUGGAGUUUUGAGCGGUUUGAGGCGAUUAAGCUCCAGUGUCAUCAUGAGCUCUCGUGAUGAUUGGAUGAGUAGGCCUUAAUUAGAUUUUGAGGCCACUCCUAACCUGCCCGGCGCUACAUGGGUGGGAGGCGGUCUUAUCCAUGAACCCACCCAAGAUGAGCUAAUUAAACCUUGUUUCUUGGCGCGUGUCACAGGCAGGUGGCCCAGGUCUCGUCAGCCCUAAAGUCCAAAUCCAUUGGUGGGGUCCAUGCUGAGCCGUGGGCCAUCGCGCAUUUCAGUUUCACCUGUCGUAAUUAAGCUGUCCAAAACAUCAUAAACUCGACCGACCAAGUGGGCCGGCAAAGCCAAAUACUCCACUCGGCUCGGUACCGUCCAAACGACUGUUUCCCGUCAAUCAGUUUCUCGACCGGGACAUGGUCUCUUUUAAUUCACGAGCAAAGUUGGCGUCUGCACCUACGCACCAACUCGCGAAAAGUAUAUAUACACCUUGUGUGCAGUUUCUUGUCAGGCUUCCUCUGACCCUGUCAAAUGCUAUACAAGGACUAGCUAGCAGCACCAACUACUGCAUGUCUGCAUUCCGUCGGCUAUACACACCUUGAGUACAUGUCUACAUGCAUGACGACGCUAAACUACGACCACAAAACGAGGCGGCUUAGCCACGUUUUUUGAAGUGAUCCAUUCCGUUUCCGUGCCUGGGAAAGUUGCCAAUCGGCGACAGGCCGAUUAAGGCUUCUUCUUGGUCGAGUUGAGUUUGAGCCGGCACGCGGCAGCGGCCGGUCAGCGCGUGCCAGUAGGAUUUUCGUUGGCAGUUGGCACGUCCUGGAGCCAGGCCUCCACGGUACGGCAGGAGAGAUACUCCAGAUGAAUGAAUACUUCUGCAUUGACGGAUUGGUUGACGUAGUAGGCGCCGGUCGGAAACCACCAAGGAGUUCUGAUUGUUUCUGGCACGUGUUAAAUGGCCGACCAUUACAGGAGCACUCGGAUUUGGAUGUUUCAGCAAGUUCUACCUAGGCGCCCAAUACAAAUGAGUGCCGGCCUAAACAACUCUUGCUUGGCACGACACAAUUGCUAACUUGCAUGUACUAGUACUAAAUUUAGGAUCACUAUUGGUAUAUAUAUGGUGACAUUAUACAUGUACUCCUAUUACACCAUCCGUAAAACGACUCCAAGCCAAUACGGAAACGGCUGCAUAGUCUCCUAAAUCCCUCGGAUUAAGGAAAUCCAUCCAUGUAUCUAUGGACGACACGGAACCUACUUAUAGAGCAGUCCAUAUCGGACAGGAUGACACUCUACGUCUAUAUAAGAAGUCGGAGGACUUUGCAUAGGAAAUUACAUAUCCAAUGGAGGUCACACGCACAAUUGAAUCGCAACGUACACGCUCGCCCCUCGCCAAUUAUAGAUCUCAUAUAGGGUAGCCUCGACGUGUAAUUUAUCUGGCCAUCAAUACGUAGCACAAGGAAGCAGUAGGGUUAUUAUCCGUGGGCUCAAACCUACAUGCAUUGGUUGUCGACAAUAUGUAUAUGUAAGAAUGACGAUGUAUGAAUCAUCAACGUCUACAAUGUCGGGAAUUCACAAUAGUUUUUAGCUGAUACAAACUAGGAUGUGAAUUCAGGUCGUUACAGCUAUAGCAUUGAGUUUUUUUGCCUAUCCGAAGUUGUAUAACAAAAUUGAAAUUUGGUGUAGUUAUAGAUGCAUGUGGUGUGCUUGUGUCCACGUCCGUCGUUGAAGCCAUCAACCCGCUUGGAUAGUCUCGCAGCCGACUGCAAUAAAACAUGUAUCUAUCUACUAUGCCAAGAAAUUGGAAUUUCAAAUUAAUCAAAUGCUUCAGAGAUUAGAAAACUACAAGUUCAACUUUGAUAAUUGUGAGGUGCCAAAUUUGUGUCGCAGUUCGAAUAAGCUGCUAUUCACAAUUGAAUGUGCCCUUUUUUCAGCUUGUCGAUCAAAUUUAGAUUUCAAUUUUCGUGACAUUACAAAAAAAAUGGUGUAUAUAUGUGGCGAGUGUUUUAUGAAAAAAUAGCAUGUCUCAUCUAGAAACAAGCAAUGCCAACCAUUGAUGCUUCAGCCUUUAGGGCAUCCACAAAUCGGGAAAACUGCCUCUAUAGAUGUUUCUAAGCCAUUGCACCUUUUUCUAGCUACCUCUAAGCUUAGAGUCACCUUUUACCUUGAAGGCAACCUUCAAGACUAAAGUUAUUAUGGAGCCCACUUGUGAGACUUUAAAGCACCGAAGUCCUAAGAUAACCUCUAAAACGCUAUUCACUUGAUGGUAGGGACCACCUUAGAGACAUCAAUUGUAUCUAUACAUUGAAAAGUUUGAUGUAAGAAUAGAGAUGGAUUGAAGGUCCCAGCUUAAAGACUGUGGAUGUUCUUAGUAGCCACCCUUCGGCAAAUAGGUCAUCUAUAUAAGAUAUAUUUCAUGAAUCAUGAAAUUUAUAUUUAAAAUUGUCAGAGAUUUGACUUUCUGGAUCCGUGGAUUCACCCUCUCAUCAAACAAACAUGCACGGUGACAUGAAUCUCACUGGGAAAAAGUCAGAAGUUUGUUUUUAAUAAAUGUAAUGUGAUAUCAUGUUUACCCAUCCAGCUGUAACCGUUUCCUGGAAAAAUAUCCAAAAAUGUUCCUCCCCUCAUUUUCACAAAGGUUGACGUAUUUGGUUGCAUUAAGACAACAUUCUAAUAACAAAUAACUUUAUUAAUAUGUAAUUAUUAUGAUAGGAAACCAUAAUUAUCAUCAAGAACUUUUGAGAGUGAAUAUAUUGAUAUAAAGUUUAGAAACACAUAUUAAUAAAGUAAUUUUCGGUCAAAGCCUUGUCUUAACAUAACCAAAUACGUCAAACUUUGUGAAAAAAGAUGGGGUAUAUUUUAUAAUCCUACCAUCUUAAUUUUUUUUGAAGUUAUUAACAAUGCUCUUUACAAAGACAUGAUGCUUUUGCUUCAUCAUACAAUGGAAACUAUGUACAAUGGCAACGGAAAACAUUUCAAUGGUCCAUUUGCCAAUUUGGCAAACUUCAGAAACCCAAGCUAAUUUGAACUUAAAUGUAGUCCAUGGCGACAGAACUUUGCCCUCGAAAGUUAGAACUACUCCACAUAUAAAGGAAGUGAAAUGCAACUAUAUCCCAGUUACAAGGACUUCUUUGAUAGGAAAUUUUGACGGAUUCAAAUCUGGACAGUUUUUAUACUUGAGGUACUUAUUUCUUGGACCAUGAUUUACUUUGCCCUGGACAUUCAUUCACUAGAUUACAUAGAUUUCUUUGUUAACUAAGGUCUCUUGGUACGUUUCAGUUUGCUUUACAUAUGGCACAACCAAAAAAUGUCGAGAAAAAAUAGUAGUCCUUCCGAUCCAUAAAACGGACGACAUUUUUUAUGAAUAGGAGGGACUACUUGAGUGAGCGAGAUCACAAUCCUAUGUUUCGGUUUACAUUUCUGUGUUUCUGGAAUCACCCAAGCAAAGACAAUUUGUUGAUUAGGGUCGCUGGUUAACGUUUUGAGGCAGAACCAUCCGAACUUUCUACGACGUUUUGUCCCAGGUCCUCUGAACUGAAGACUACUGUAACCAAUCAUCCCAUACCAAGCAUUUCGUCGUUCUUACGAAACACGUCUUUACUUGUCGAUGCGCGUCUACCGUGUAAACAAUUGGACUUGCAUAGUCCACAUGCUACAGGAACCUCCGUCCCGUGCUUUUACUACCACGCGAUCCACUGAAAACGAGCAAGUAAACAGAAUCGGUAAAACAUGGCCUCACGACGGAGCAUCUGUCAGCCUCACAUGAGUGACCACAAAAUCCAUCCGGUUGGGUUUCAUCCCCGGCCCUCCUCGCUGUCGAGGCCAGAUUCGCCGGUGAAUUUGAAAAAUCCGGAACCACGCGUACUCCCACAGUUACACGUCGCACUUGGCCGUCCCCGAUCUAUGCGGUCCAGGGAAAAAACAUCACCCACGCCUCGCUGCCGCAGAGCCACAUGUUGGGCUCGGCUCCCUGACCCGCUCCCGCUGUUGCCCGCUGCGCUAGUUCUCCUUUCCUCUCCCUUCCUGUCCCUGCCCUGGUGCCACUCUGUUCACCCUUUUUCACCUGCCUGCAUCUAAUUCAAACUGAAACCCAAGCCAGAUCUAAACCAAACCCAAUCCAACCCAGUGAGGGUAGGGGUAGCCUGGUCAAUUCUCCCGCAACCUCUGCUCGAAUCUUUGGGUCCUCUGGUGACUACUGGUGCAGUGAAAAGAAGUGAGGGAAAUAAAAAGAAAAGAAAGAUAAACAACCUUGUCCGCACACGCCGCCCAUCACGCGUCCCGGUCACGUCCCCUCGCUGUAGCGUGGGCCUCAUGCCGUCCUGGUCCAGCCGUCAGUGGGAGCGGCUAAAGCAGGUGCCCAGUGAUUAGCAGGCGAGAAACCCGCCGCGGCAGUCCAGUCCAGGCAGCGGGCCCCGCGGAUUUGACCGGUCAAAAGGCGUGGCCAACCAAACCCCAAGAGGGACGGAUCGAUCACGGGCUCCCACGCGCCGGACCCGGGCUUCUACGGCCCCGCGUCACCGACAGGUGGGUCUACGAGGAACAGGCUGGCCCACCUGUCCGUGGGGGGUCGGGGGUGCGCGCCGGUGGUGCGGCGCGUUUUCUUGUGGUGAUGGUGGGUUGGCUUUGACUGCCCUCGGCAGCAGCAGGCGGGCAGGCACAAAUCAUUUCGGCAGCUGCGUCCGCCUUGGCAUGGUGGUAGGACUUGUGGUAGAGUACCACCGCGUUGCGUCCCGACAACCAAAAGGGGCAGACGGGGGAGAGGAGCUAGAGUAGAGAGAGGAGAGGAAAGGGGAAGGCCAUAGCAGCCGGGAGCCGGGAGAGACGCUUGCCAUACAGAGGGAAGCGAAUCUUGCAGGGGGAGAAUCCGGGGAUUUCUGUGGCGGAGGAGGAGGUAUGAAUCGUCGCGCAUCUGUUCCUGUUCUUCGAUUUGGAUUUCGUUGCUGGGUUCGGUGUUUGUUUCUUCCUCCGCUGGGGUUUUGUGUAAUCCACGAACAUAGACGCGUUCGUGGUUGUGUUCUUCGUGCAUCCUUGGUUGAUGGUUCGGGACUCGGGAGUAUCCCCUAGGAUCUGCGAUUUUUCCUGAUGAAAACCGUGGCCAUCUCGUGCUCCUCUGUCGGAUUUGCGCGAGCGUUUCUCGCGAAUUAGCUAGGUUUCCCGAGGCUCUCGACUUUGUUCGAUUAUGGAGGGAUUACUCUCCCCGUCCGUCCGCAUCUUGCAAGUAUUAAAACGAUUGGCACAAGACAUCGAGGCUGAACGGCUUACAAGAGGUAAAAAAAAAAAAGCUACGCGGCGGCUAACAUCGGGAAAUCCCGCCACCAGCAGCACGACAACAUUGCGAAUCUCCUCUGCAUGCCCCCAUGGCCACGGGCAUCGGAGUGAUGCUGCUGCGUUUGCUCUGGAUUUGUGCCUGCGUUUACUGGUCAGUCAGCAGGAAGCAUUCCUAUGGGACACCGGAGUACUGAAGUGUUUCUGGUAUUCGUUGCUACAUAUAGAUCAUUUAUGCCGUCAUAUCGUACCCAAUUUUUAAAUUGGUUUAGUCCUUUCCCUUUUGUUUGAGGGCUGCUGAAAUGAUUGGAAGCCACCCCCGUAAACGGAUACAGAAUACUAGCAUCGUAAAGCAAAAGAGUGACGCCUAAAUCUGGAUAGGUUCCCUUUUCUUUUUAGCUUCAGUUAGGCAAAUUUGCUGUCUUAAUGGCAGCAUCUGCCGUCUUCUUUUAGUUUCAGCUAGGCAUUGCAAAUUUUGAAGGGGAAAACUGUUUGCCUGAAAGUCAUGGUUGCGAAGGCUCAGCGGUCAAGCUAAAUACCAGUUGGGCACAUUAGGUGUUCCAGCACUGCUUAUUAGUUGUCGGUGCAUUUGAUGUGUUCGUCCUAGAUUUUGUUGUUAUUCAUGUGACUGAUGUUUGUCGUCGCUGGGAUCGCAGGUGCGUCAAAAGAUCCACAGCUUCUGUGAUUUGAUGCACAGCUGACUUGGCGUCUCUUGGCUUGCGGAAGAGAUGGCUUCAGUAGGCAUAGUUCCGUCCGGGCAGAAGAACAGUAGCAGUACCAGCAUGGGUGUGGAGAAGUUACCCGAUCAAAUGAAUGAUUUGAAGAUAAGAGAUGAUAAGGUCAGAUAAGUUCUAUUCGGAUGUGUAUAAUGCAAUCUGUUCUGUAUUUCUUCGAGAAUAUAAUGACUUAAGUCAUAACAUAUUGUAUCGAAUGAUAUAUGCAGGAAGUGGAAGCGACUAUUAUUAAUGGCAAGGGGACAGAAACUGGUCACAUUAUUGUCACAACUACUGGUGGCAGAAAUGGUCAACCGAAACAGGUACUACUUGAUGUUCCAUUUGAUUGGGAUUAGCAGUCUUUUGUUCUUAUGUGUUUGUCUGCAAGCAGGAUGAAAUAAUUAGAAAGCCAACACAUAAUUCUGGCAUGCCAAAUGUCCUAAAUGCCUGCCUUAUUGCCAAUCUCUUCAAACGCAACAAUUUUUGAACUAGUUAAUUGUACUUUACAAUUGAUGUGGCGUAUUUUCAUUAUAAUAACAUGUGCGUGUUGGAUGCAGACUGUGAGCUACAUGGCUGAACGUAUUGUAGGUCAAGGAUCAUUUGGGAUUGUCUUUCAGGUUAGUUGCAACAACUUCAAGCUGAUUUGUGUUUACUAGGUAGCUAACUCUCUUAUUUCAUUUCAUGAAUCUGCUCCUAACUGCAUUUGUGCAUUCCUGUCUUGAGCCGACUGUCUAUUUAUUUUGGUACUCUAUAGGACCUUAACAAAAUUUUCUUGCGCCUACCAUUAUACUUGAAUACUUCUAUGUGCGGACAUAUAGAUUUCUUCUAAUGUUCAAUUUUAUUUUGACCUUUCUGCAGGCUAAAUGUUUGGAGACAGGUGAAACUGUUGCUAUAAAGAAGGUUCUUCAGGAUAAGCGCUACAAGAAUCGUGAGCUGCAAACCAUGCGCCUUCUUGACCACCCAAAUGUUGUAGCUCUGAAGCAUUGUUUCUUUUCUACAACUGAGAAGGAUGAACUAUAUCUAAACUUGGUUCUGGAGUAUGUGCCUGAGACUGUUCAUCGUGUUGUGAAGCAUUACAACAAGAUGAACCAGCGCAUGCCACUUAUCUAUGUGAAGCUGUACACGUACCAGGUAAUAUUUUAUUUAUGUUCCAUUUGGAUUACUAUUCGUGACACUCUAAUAUACGUAUGCUGCUGAUACUGACCUAGCAUGUUCUGUUGUUCAAAUAAUAAAUCCAAACUGCUUUCAAUAAUAGCCUUUGAUAGCUCUGUAUCAAGCUCGUUUUUUUAUUUCAUGAAUUUAAUCCAAUAUUUAUUGUGAUGGACAGAUAUGCAGGGCACUGGCUUACAUUCAUGGCAGCAUUGGAGUUUGCCACAGAGAUAUCAAGCCACAAAAUCUUCUGGUAUGCUGAAAUAAUACUCAUGAUGUGCUGUUCUCAAGCACCAAUUACAUGUCUCUCUAAAUUGAUUUUCUUAACUUUAACGACAGGUAAACCCACAUACCCAUCAGCUCAAACUAUGUGACUUUGGGAGCGCAAAAGUUCUGGUAAGAACAAGAUAGUCAAGUAAGUACACAUUUAUAGUUUUAUCUAAGUACCUAACCUUAUCUGCGCGCUAAUUUGUAGGUCAAAGGAGAACCAAACAUAUCGUACAUUUGCUCCCGAUACUAUAGGGCUCCAGAGCUCAUAUUUGGUGCCACUGAGUACACUACGGCCAUUGACAUUUGGUCUGCUGGAUGUGUUCUUGCUGAGCUUAUGUUAGGGCAGGUAAGCAGCCUCUGUUUUAUGUGCAUCUUGAAGCCAGUCCUCCAUAACUUGACAUAUUGUUUGAGAUCAUGCUGGCUUACAUGGUCAUUUUAUUGGACAGCCUCUGUUUCCUGGUGAAAGUGGAGUAGACCAGCUUGUUGAAAUCAUCAAGGUAGCUACCAGUUCUUGUGCUUAGCAAUUUAUUGUCCUAUUGACUCUCCCGGCAUGAAUCUCACCUUGAAUUUGAUCGUUUGUUGCAGGUCCUUGGUACCCCUACAAGGGAAGAGAUUAAAUGCAUGAACCCAAAUUACACGGAGUUCAAAUUCCCACAGAUUAAAGCACACCCAUGGCACAAGGUGCAAAUCGAUCUAGUGCAGGUUUUAUAUCGUUAGGAAUUGGUUUUUAUCAGCUGACUAAAGGAUAUGCAAAUAUUUAGGUAUUUCAUAAAAGGAUGCCCCCAGAAGCUGUUGAUCUUGUCUCUCGGCUCCUCCAGUACUCACCCAACCUAAGAUGCACUGCUGUAAGUACAUCAAACAAAUGCACAUUACAUGAUUGGAACACACAAAUACUAGAUCAAUGAACUAGUCUUGCAUUAAUCUUUGGAACUGCAUAUUUUACUAACAUUAUGGUCAACUAUGUUGUCCAGGUGGAGGCACUUAUUCACCCCUUCUUUGAUGAGCUUCGGGACCCGAAUACCCGCCUUCCAAAUGGCCGCUUUCUACCACCUCUUUUCAACUUCAAACCUAACGGUAUGUUCAGUAACAGGGCAACACUUCUCCUGCCUAUUUUCACUAUGGUAAUCCUAUGGUUCCCUGUGUUAUGGUGGCUUAGAUCAAUAGUUAUUAGUUCCAUGGUUACUGAUUUUUCAUGUAAAAAGCAUUCUGUAAUCGUGUGUAGACUUAAAGUUGCUAAGCCACUGUCUUUGGAUGCCACCAGCCCUUAUCUUAUCCCCCAUUUGUUGUUUCUUCGCAGAACUGAAAGGAACCCCAGUUGAUAUUGUGGCCAAAUUGAUCCCAGAGCAUGCGAGAAAGCAGUGCUCGCAUGCAGGAUUGUGAAUCGCCCGCCUCAUGACUUGAAAUUUCUAUGACAAGUGUGGUGUUUCCCCUGGGAUGUUGGUUGGGCAGCAAGCGAUUGUGAUACACUGAUGGUUGUUGAAGAUGUGAAGUUUCGUUCUUGUAUGACCACUCUGUUGACCUGUGUAGCUGAGUAGUAGUAUGUUUGGAUGUGAACUUGACAUGUAGCCGGCUCAACCCCCCUCCUAACCCACUUGAGAAAUGAGAUUGCCAUAGCUGAUCUGUAAUAUGUUCUAGAGCAGUAUGAAUGUAUUUAUGGUAGUGGAUCCAUGCGUGGAUCCUCGUUGAUUUUCCUAGUUUCUUGACUGUCAGACUGCUUUCGGCUUUUAAAUUGUGUUAUGGAAUGCUACUUGUUACCACUAUAUCACUAUAUAGUGAUGCUAUUUAGUUCAUGUUGCCUCGUACCGUGUCGAGCUUUGCAAUGUGAAAUGAUUUGUUUUCCUCUUAAUGUCUGUUAUAAUAUUGCAGACCAGUUUCGUUCAACUUCAUUCAGAGAAAGUACUGUUUUGUGUUGUUUAUAAUUAAAAAUAUAUAUGUUUGCUCUUUCAUAAAGAUUGCCGUAUUUGUCUUUUUUUUAGAUCUACAAUUGUCUUUUUCGGCAUGGUUAUUCAGCAGUGACUGAAAUAAGAGUGACUGGACAAUCCGCAUAAUCGCUCGCAAAAGCUCCCAUAAAAUUGUGAAAAUUGUUGCAAAAUUCCCGAUCGCAAACGAGUAGUACAGCAGAGGCAGGGAAGAAGGCAUAGACGCCAAAGGAGGGAGAGAAGCGGAGGAAGAAUGGAGCAGACGCGGGAGAUGCCGAGAUGCCAUUGGGGAAGUACUACUGUGACAAGGAGUUCCAGGACACCGCCGCCGCUCGCAGGCGCCACCUCCAGGGCGCGCAGCACCACCGCGCCUGUGCCCUUUGGUACGACUCCGUCCGCCGCCAAGGUGCGCCCCCUCGUUGCCUGUGUCUGUCGCACAAUCCCUCGAACACCUUGGCGACGCCCGCUGUUCUCAGUCCUAAAACUUAACCCGUCUUUUUCGGCAGAGUCCAUCGGCUGCGCUUCUCCCUUCCUCCAGCCCGACGCUGCGAUCCUCGGCAAAGGCGUCUGCAAGAUGUAUGACGCCAAAUCGGCUGUUAGAAACGAGGGAACCACCGGAGAUCGAAUAACCGUGCCGAUUUCUCGUGCCCUCGUGCUGUUCAGUGCCGAGCAACGGCCAGAUUCUAUGGGCCGUGCUUUUUUUUGCGUGCCUCUGGCCGGCCCGAAAUAACUAGGCCCGAUGGCCAGGAUUUUUUUUUUGCGGGAACCGAUGGCCAGGAUUAGUGCCCCGUUUGGCUCACACAAGCGUCUCUCAAACGGACCCUUCCUCGGUUCCUCCACGCCGCCGCCGCCGCUCGUAGCCGCCGUCGGACGAGAAGAUGCUCGACAUCAACCUCUUCCGCAAGGAGAAGGGCGGCGAUCCUGACCUUGUACGCAAUUCGCAGCGCAGCCGCUUCGCCUCCGUCGAGCUCGUUGACGAGGUCAUCGUGCUCGACGAGGAGUGGCGCCAGAGUAAGAGCUCCUCCUCUCCGGCCCCCUCCCCCCUUAAAAAACCUCCCCAAUCCGCAGUCCGUUACCCCCAGGAUUUUUAUCGCUGCAGGGCAGUUCGAGCUUGACAAGAUCCGGCAGGAGCUGAACAAAACCAGCAAGGAGAUCGGGAAGCUCAAGGCCGUACGUUCGCGUUGCUUUGCUUUGCUUGGCUUUCGUUUUGUACCUCUGCCGUACUUUGGAUUUGCAUUUGACGGUCGACAAUGCCCUUUGCAGAAAAAGCAGGAUGCUACGGAGCUGAUACAGAGCACAGAAGAGAUUAAGAGCAGAUUGGCCGCCAAGGAGACGGAGGUGCAAGAUGCCAAGAGCACCCUCGAUGCCAAGCUCGUCGCCAUUGGCAACUUGGUGCAUGAAUCUGUGCCCGUCAGCAACGACGAGGUAUGUUGAAAGCGCAAGCGUUAGGUUUCGUGAUUCUGGAGAUAAAUAAGUGAUUAUUGGUUUGAUAAUACCAGCGUGUAAGUAAUUGUUUGUUUGGGAUGCAUAAGUCGUAGAACUACUAGCUUCAAUUCAACCUAAUUCUCGCCCUCCUGUUUCUGCUAUCAGAGUUCCUAUUGCCUUUUAGGUACUAUAUAUACUAUAGUAAUACAAGUGUUGAUUUUGAUUGUGACCAACUGGGCAUGCCUUUUUGGAUGACUAGGUCCAAUUCUUGAAGUGUUGCCUGCUGAGAUUUGCUUCACGUAGCUGUAAUAAGCUGAGCUCAAGCGAUCUAAUAGUUCCUUCUCGCAGGCAAACAACGCUAUUGUACGGACAUGGGGAGAAAGGAGGUUGGAGGGGAACUUGAAGAAUCAUGUUGAUCUUUGCUUAAUGCUUGACAUUGUAGCUCUGGAAAAGGGUACGUGCUGAAAAUACAUUCUACUACGUUGGCUGAAUACUUCCUCACUAUACUGGGAUAGCUCGGUUCAAGUUUGAUUAAAUGUUCUAUUACAUAUUCCAAAUUACAAUAGCCAAGGAGCACCUAGUUAAGUGCUAGGCCAAGCAUUAAUGCAGCAUGCAUUGACACCUCUCCUUCAUGUAUUGGUUGGUUCCACAUUGGGAACCAAAAUUACACACAAAUUAGUGUAGAUGUAACUAGCUUUGCCUAUUCCCAAAGCAAAUGGGCUUACAAACUGAAAUUGGAUUUUUGAGAUGUGCCUAAUAAGCUGAAAAGGAGGGAGUACUUAUUUUGUCAUUCUGAUACCGCCUGUGAUUUUGUGAUGCCUAUCUGUAACACAACAACCUUUGUUCAGGCUAGUACAAUGCCCGUGCAUUGCAACGGAACAACAAAUCAAUUAUAUAUAAACACUGAUAAAAAAAUCAGUAUAGUUCACAAAUGAUUAUAUUGCUUGUGGCUUAUAGUUCAAAUGAUUAUAAUGCCCGUGCAUUUGCUUCCUAUAUAUGGUGAUUACCGCACAUAAUGCACAUAAAUAUUCAAACUAAUUUCAAAUUUCUAUCAAAGGAUCUACACUUUUGAUUUGAUCAUCAUACAUGAUACGCCAGUUUCCAUACCCUGAGGAGAGCCUUCCCAGUUUCCAUCACAAAACCUGUAUCAGUAUUUCCAAUUCCAGUUGCAAAUUGACCAAUUGCUCCAGCAUUGCCUGUGUGAUCUAUAAAGCAAUUGGUGCCGGUUAAUACUUUACAAUAAAACCUCAAGCCGCUUCUAGUACUUGCAAUCAGUGCAAUACCUUGCCUGGUGGGAAGUGAUCUUCUCGGGCAAGCUCAAUGUGGCAAAGAACUCUGUAGUCUGGGACUCUGGGUUUCCCUACAAACCCCCCAAAAAUGUAACCCUCUCUCCAGAAACUUAGGACCUUUUUGGAUUUGCUAUGACAGUUCACAGAACCACAUCAUGCAAAAGAACAAUAUUUUUUUUUCAUAAAUCCUGCAGGUAUUCAAAUGAAUUCCUUUCAAACCUGUCCUGCUAUAAAGGGGGCUUAUCCCUGAAUCCUAAAUCAGAUUCUAUGUCAUUCAUUUUAAACAAAGAAGUCAUACUUUAACACGAUAUUCUCCAGGUGCAUAUAUAUAGUACAUAGUACCAACAAUAACUAUUGGAACCGUGAGGUGAAAAAUAAUAAUCAGGAAUCCUGUAAUUCAUGUAGACCUCUAAAUCAAUUUUUGAGGUGAAAAGGAAACCUCAAUGCAGGAGCAAGUCAGAUGAAAUCUUGAUGCAACUGUCACAAUCAUCAAUAAAUCUGAAACUAAACCAAUGAAUAUGUAAGACCAUGACAUCGAAGAAGCUAAAAUCCCAAUUGUAGAUGGAUCUUGAGAAACUCCAAAAUGCAAGACUACCAGUCAUCCGCCCGUUUGUUUAUGAUGAGUAUGUGCAACGAAAAUGGGAUCAAAAGAUCAAUCAUAUUUCAACAUGGGAAACAACUACGGGGAGAAAUUACCGGAAUCAAUAAACUUGCCACGACACUACAAAAAUGAAGAUGAGUUACAUACAGACUACAAAAGUGUGGCAGGAAAAAUAAUAGAAAUAUCUUAAGGAAAGGUACAUAUUAUACAAGUUUAUUUAUUGCUAAAAUGGUACAUAAGUGUAAAGCAGGAAAGAUAAUAUAUAUAUAGGCAUAUAUAUAUAUAUAUAUAUAUAGGCAUAUAUAUAUAUAUAUAGGCAUAUAUGUAUAUCUGACACCUCCAUAAAUAAUAUUGACUGAACAACCCAAAGACUCAGGCUAACUGAAUUUAAAACAGAUAUGUAUUUGAUAGGAUCAAGUGGCUAACACAUCACCAACCAAUCAACCAUGGCAUCGGUUUCCAUAACAAAAUUUCAGAACUUGGUCUAGCAAGAAAACAAUAGAAUAAUAAUAAUAGAUAAAGGUAUACUCCAUAUCUAUAGCAUCAAUUAUCUCUAGGAGAAGAAAGGAUUUGGAUUUUGGAGUAUAGAUAAUUCCAGAACUGUUUUCUUAUCAGUCAAAUGUCGAGCAGCCCAAACUUGCUGUUAGAAACUGAUGAAAGCUCUUCCUUAUGACCAUUCAAAACCAUUAAGCAAGAAAACCAUUGGAUUAACCUGAAUUAAUCAGGAAACAAUUCUCUUGUGAGAUGGACAGGAAUAAAGAAAUCCAUGGCACAACCAUUGGUUGCUUACAGAUCAGCUGAUAUCUUAAUUAAUCGAGUGAAUUCCAUUUUUUACCCCCUCUUUCAAUUUUUUUCACACAAUCUACCCCAUUUAAGGGAAUUUUCAAAAUUAUACCCCAUUUAACCAAACCUUUGCCACUGAUUGCCCCUUUUAUUAUUUUUUCCCCAAAUCUGAAAUUUUCUGAGGGAUGGGGCCCACUUAUCAGGUUGACGUGGCGUGCCACGCUGGACUUUGGAGUCGAACCGGACCGGGGCAGGCUCUGGUUCGGUUCUGUUCAGGCUCCGGUUGGGCCACGAUUUGGGCCCGACGGCAUCCAGCAAAUCAGGCGUUCGCGCACCAGGUCGCUCAUCUCUCUCCCUCGCUCGUCUCUCUCUCUCUCUCUCUCUCUCUCUCUCGCUGUCGAUCAGGUUAGGUCUAGGGUUAGGCGGUGGCUGCCUGGCGUGGGAGGAAGGCACGGACGAAGUCGCUGGGGAGCAAGAGCCCGCUCGCGGAUGGCGCGGAUGAAGUCGCCGGCCAAACAUCUGCCCCCUUCCCUCUUCCUUUCCCUGUGCUCGAGCGAUUUGUGGAUUCCAUUGGUGAUUUGGGGAUUUUUUAGGAUUUUGGGGUUUCCAGUGCUUAAAUCGUGCUCUUGCAGUGUUCAAUUUGUGCUGAAUGUACUCUUGAUUUAGGGCUUUGUGAAACACCGGCAAUUCUUCUGUGGGUGAGAAAAGCGUCCUGGGGUUAUCCCUGUGGCUGGCUGCUGCCAGAAAGAACCGAGGAGGAAAAGGUGUAUGAGAUUUCGAGGGAACUGCAAAUGCUGAAGAAAGAAUUGCUGCAGUAGGCUCCGUGUUUGUGGUUGUCUAUGUCUUGAAGAAAACAAUAUGCUGAAUGCUGCUGUAUAGCUCCAGAUGCCGUGUUUUGUUUUGUUUUUGUGUAUAGGCUUGUGUUGCCAGACUGGACCGGACCGGUCUGUUUGACCCCCAAAGUCCAGCAUGGCAUGCCAUGUCAGCCUGUAAAGUGGGCCCCGCCCAUCAGAAAACGUCAGAUUUGAGAAAAAAUAUUAAAAUAUCAGAAAAGUCCAGCGCGAGAAGGUAUACGAACCUGCUGCCGGUCUUGCAACUGUCUUUGCCCCCAAGGCCGGCGCUGCGGAAUACCUUGGAUCCAAACUGGCAGACAAUCUGAGGGGGUGAAUCGGUUCUGCAGCACACCGCCGGCGGAGACGAUGAGGGGGAGGCGCAGCAGGUGUAGUGGGGGGGGGGGGGAUGAGGAGGUGCGGCGGCCGGAGCAAGGUAUGAGAGGGGCGCCGGCGACAUGAAGAGGGGGAGAAGUGGAGGCGCAGCGGUUGGAGAGCAUGAGAUGGCCGUUUUUGUUUUUUCUUGUGAUGCGUGGAUUCGGAGGGAUGGGAGGGGUCCCACAGCAGUUGGAGGAAGUGAGGGCCGGCGGGGCUGUGGGAGGAGCAGCGGCAGCAGCUCCGAUUGCAGUGGCAGGUAGAUCAGCGGCAGCGGCGGCGAGUGGAUCUCGUGAGUAGGCAGAGGGCGAAGGAAGAGACGUUCGGUCUCGGUGGGAAUGAUCUGAGACGUUGAUAGAAUUUAGAUCCGACGGUGAGGGAUGGGUAAACUGUGUGUUUAUAGUAGUAGAGAACUUGGGGAGAAUGGCAACUGUCAAUAGCUUACCUAACACAGGCUUUGUCCUUGAUGAAGUUUUAAUAAUCAGCACUGCCCGCCGAAUUCUAUAUGCCUAUGCGCACUGCUGGUGUGCUGUUCUUGAUGACUGAUUUGGCAAAAUGUCUUAGCUAGACUAUAGUAUUCUGUUCAUUGAUAGAAAAUUCUGGUUUCAACUACCACUCCUGUAUCAGCAAUCUUGACUCCAGUACUUCUGUGCCGCACAAACUAUUGUCCUUUAUUACUACUGUUUGUUCCCUUCCUGGAUAGUUGAUAGAGGACAUUGCUGCAUUUUCUUCCCUCUUGCAGUCGUAGACAUGCUUAAGAAAGUUGGUACAUCACCUCGACAAUAUGGGAUGGAUAACGUCAUUCCGCUACAUAUAAUCAACUUUAGUAGCAAUCUUUUAUGUUUGCAUCUACAUGCUCCAUUGAACUUGUGAAGAAUCGUUUUCAAUUAAAUUAGCAAGCGUCUUUUUUUUUGCCAUGAUAGCACAAGUUCAUUAAAGUUUUAAGUUACCUCAAAUACUUUGUUGCCUAUUCAAUUUUCACAGGUGCUGAUGUAGCUGGUGGAAGAGGUUACUUUUUGAAGGGUAAUGGUGUCCUCCUGAAUAUGGCGUUGAUAAAUUUUGGGCUAGCGUUCCUGGGUAUACGAGGCUACACUCCAAUGCAAACUCCUUUUUUCAUGAGAAAGGAAACUAUGGGAAGAUGUGCCCAGUUGGCCCAAUUUGAUGAGGAGCUUUACAAAGUAAGACCAAAGAGGUGUUCCCUUCCAUAUGAUGGUGUUAUUCAGCAAUUUUACUUGCACUUGUUUAGACCAUGUUUUUCCAAAGCUUUUUUGUGGUAUGGUAGCAUAUUUUCUUCUUGCCGAUUUUCCAUUCUGUGUUCGCAGCUUUGUGGUAAGCAACACCCAGUUUUAUGAAAGUUAUGUCUUGGGCUGGUUGGUAAUGUUUCUCAGCUAAGUAACCUUCCAAUUCUAGCAAACAUAAUAUGUACAGUUUUGGCCACUUCAUUGUUGAAUCAACACUAGUCAAUACUCUGAUUGCAUCAUAAUCUAGUUCCUAAAAAAUAUUUGUUGGAUUUGAACUAGACAAUUUUUUAUUAGGUCCAACAUAUACUGUAAUAAUAUGUCUAUGAACAUUAUUUGCAUUUUACAGGUAACGGGAGAUGGAGAGGAAAAGUAUCUCAUAGCUACAUCCGAGCAACCACUGUGUGCUUACCAUCUAGGUGACCGGAUUUAUCCUGCUGAUUUGCCAAUUAGGUGGGUAAUGCCUAACUUUAGGUGGUCAAUUUGCACUAGUAAUAAGAUCGUAACUUUUGCCCAUUUAGAUAUGCUGGGUACUCAACCUGCUUCCGGAAAGAAGCUGGUUCCCACGGGAGGGACACAGCUGGCAUAUUCAGAGUCCACCAGUUUGAGAAGAUCGAACAGUUCUGUGUUACAAGUCCAAAUGACAAUAAUUCCUGGGAACUGCAUGAAGAAAUGAUUAAAAAUUCAGAAGAUUUUUAUAAGGAGGUACAUAUCGGAAGCUUUGCCAACUAACACCAUGUUUGUAUCUUACACUUUGUCUUCCUGACAUGUCUUAAACAUUUCUGUGAUGUCCAUCUUGCAGAUUGGUCUACCAUAUCAACUUGUAUCUAUUGUGUCUGGUGCUCUUAAUGAUGCUGCAGCUAAGAAGUAUGAUUUGGAAGCAUGGUUCCCUGCAUCCAAAACCUACAGAGAAUUAGUGUCCUGUUCAAAUUGCACAGACUAUCAAGCAAGGAGGCUUGGAAUAGGCUUUGGCCAGAAAAAGGUAUGAUUUUGUUUCAACUGUGUGCUGGUAUGACUCUGCUUUAUUUCUGCUACUCUGGAUCAAAAUGUCUGAUCAGUUAUCACCACCUAUAUUUGUUAAAAUUGCAGAAUGAUGAGCAAUCCAAGCAGUUUGUUCAUAUGUUGAAUUCUACGCUGACUGCAACUGAGAGGACCCUUUGCUGUAUUCUGGAGAACUACCAGAAGGAGGAUGGUGUUGAAGUGCCGAAGGCACUGCGACCAUUCAUGGGUGGAAUAGACUUUCUUCCUUUCAAGAAACCUCUUGAUAGCAAACAAGCUGCUGACUCCAAGCCCACUAAGUCUAAACCUAAGGUAUUUCCGUGCUUCUACUUUUUCUGUUUUUUAGGACAAUAUAUUAAUCCAUAGUCUGAGUUUUCCUUUUUGUCCUCCCUGUCAGGGAAAUGCUGCUUGAGCUGUAAGAGGGGUGAUAUUUCCGUCAGGCGGCUAAUGAUGCAUCCUUUUAUUAAACUGUUGUUCGUUUGUAGCAUGAUCAUGAUGUUAAAGUUUAGGUGUCCAUUUUGGUUGCUUUGGUUACAACAUGAUUGCAAUCAAGGAUAUUUGCACACAAUUUACAAGAAAUAUUAGUGGUUAUGAUAAUUUUCGUGUUACACUAAUUGAUUGAUUAUAGAGCACCACUGUAAAAGUGUACAAUGUUGAAAACUUAAUUUAUUUGUUCAAUGAUCUGAUGUGCAUAUAUCACAACAAAUUACCUGAGUAGCAAUGGCACUUGUGGGACAGAAAGGCCAUGAGCUACAAAGGAGAAAUAAAAAUGCCCAAGACUCUCAUUGCUGAUGUCGAAGCCGCUGAGUAGCAAUUGGAAGAUGGAGUAGCAAUUGGAAGAUGGACUUCGUUGCGCCGCUGAAGCUUAUGCUGUAAAGAUUGGCUUGGAACUAGCAGUCUUAGCUGGCUGUUCUCGCGUCCUGAUCAAUUCCGACUCGAUGGAUGUUGUUGCCGUGAAUCAAAUAGGGUUGCCCAUGAAUUAGCUCAGCUGCUCGGAGAAUGUAACUCUUGUUUUCAAAUGAAUAAAAGAGGUAUUUUUGCGGUAAAAAAUAAAUGCCCAAGACUCCCCUCAACCCCAGGUGUCAAUGCGCUGCCACCGCCACCUGAGAGGUGCAUCGAUGCCAGGCAAGGUUGGAAAGGUUGCGAUGAUUGUGCCACUGCGCAAAGCCAUUACCGUCACUCCAGUUUGAUCUUUGUUCAUGCAUCGGAUAAUUUACCCUUGUGUUAUCUACACGCAAAACGUGCUACAGAUUUACUAGUCUGUCAGAUAAGGCUGUUUCUCCAUGCUCCAGGCUUUCACUGCUCGAUGUUACUGUAGCCCUUGAAUUUAUUCCAGCCAGUUACAUUUGGAUAGCUUUCAGACCCCUGUCUUUGCAGCAGGAUAGCAUGUGCUUCUGCCCCAGUCACAUUUGAAUUCGACUUACCUUUUCCUUUUUAUUUCAAAAUAAAUUAAUCUGGAUAUGGAAUUACACACUAUCCUGCCAAUCCUGGAUUCCUGGUAAACUUUACUAUCUGGUUUGGGAUAUAAAAGUAUCUCCACUCGUCCCGCCCAUUGGUGCCCGGCCUUUCAGGGCUCGUCGCUAUCCAGCCCGCCCCCAAUACUAAAAUUCUAUUUUGGCGAAAAUUCAUCAAAACAGGCGAUAUUUCAUUAAGCCCGGCGACAUUUCAUUGAAAUUUGCGAAAAUUUACAAAAUUUUAAAGAAAUUAUACUAAAAUCCUAGUCGUCGAGGCUUCUGAUCCAGAAGUCGUCGUUGCUGCUAUCGUUGUCGAAGUUGAAGUCGUCGUCAAGGACGAUGACGCCGGGCUCCGGUUUCACCUUCGUCGCCGUCGCUGCCUUCUCCUUCGCCGCCUCGUCCUCGAGCCAGGCUUGGAUGUCGGCCUCCGUGGCGGUGUAGCCGAGACGGCGGCGCUGCUCUGCCUCCUCCUGGCUGGCGUGCUGGGCGAGGCGAAAGCCGGGGAACUCCUCCGGGUCGUCCUCGCACCAGGCGCUCGUAUUCGGUCUCCGGCGCUCAUUCCGGAUCAGGCUUCGGACAUAGAAAGUCACUUAAUAUGGGACGGAAGGAGUAAAUUACAUUUUUUUUCAAUAAAGUUGUUGGUUAAAUUGUUAUCUCAAAUAUCUGCGAAAAUGUGGGAGUAAAUCGCUCGCAAAAGCUCCCAUAAGAUUCUUGCAAAAUUCCUGAUCGCAAACGAGUGAAGAAGGCAGAGACGCCAAAGGAGGGAGAGAAGCGGAGGAAGAAAAGGGCAGACGCGGAAGAUGCCGUUGGGCAAGUACUACUGCGACUAUUGCGACAAGGAGUUCCAGGACACCGCCGCCGCUCGCAGGCGCCACCUGCAGGGCGCGCAGCACCACCGCGCCCGCGCCCUCUGGUACGAUUCCGUCCGCCGCCAAGGUGCGUCCCCUCGUUGCCUGUAUCUGUCGCGCAUUCCCUCGAACAGCUUGGCGACGCCCGCUCUUCUCAGUCCUAAAACCUAAACCGUCUUCUUCGGCAGAGUCCAUCGGCGGCGCUUCUCCCUUCCUCCAGCACGACGCUGCGAUCCUCGGCAAAGGUGUCUGCAACCACUUCGUCCGCACGGUGUGUUCCGGAUUGCUUCUCAAUUCUUACUCAUCACCUUGUGUUGACUGCCAGUUUUAGCUACGGUAUCCCAUGUGGCCAACUGUAUAUGCGCAGCGUUUUGUGGAAUUCUCCCUUCGUUCCCAUUUUCAAGCAAUCACCGUUCCUCUCCAAAUACUUCCGUUGCUCAAUGCACUCUUGUUUAGUUUGCUUCUUGAUGAUGUUGCAGGGCACAUGCAAGUUUGGGGAUUCAUGCAGGUACUUCCAUCCGAAGCCACAUGCUGUUAACCCAGCAUCAGCUCCGUCUGGUGAGUUUGCUUUCAUGUCCUCUCUUUCUUAUAUUUUGGUACUAUGGGUUAGAGGUCGGUGCUUCAUUCAUAUGUUUACAAGAUGUAUCUACAGUCGGAUGCAACUUGGCAUAUCCUAAACACUUGCUUCGCAGUGCUAAACUUGAUUUCUUAAGUGAGUCCAUAUUGGGUUGUCUGGUGGAUAACUGUCUCGC